rnacentral:lncRNA from 1 species
CAUGAUGCACGAGAUAGCAUAAGUAGUAGUAGGAAGCAGCUCUUAUUUGUGGCGUCGGUAUACAUCAUACUAGGUAGAUGGUUCAAUUGGCAUGGAUGGGUGGUGGAGCCUUGAAGUGCUUGUGAUGGGGAGCCCACGGCUUCUUCUCAGGAGUUGGUGGCUUCUUGUAUGGAGUUGAUGGAGGUGUUUCUACUGGAGGGUGGCCAGGGUAGUGACCCUGGGGUGGUGAAGGUUCUUUUGUCGGUGGUGGCCUCACUAUUAUUGGCGGUAGAGUUGGUGGCUUGGGCGUUGGCGGUGGUCUCACUACUCUUGGGGGUAGAGUUGGUGUCUUGUGUUUUGGUGGUGGAGGUGGCUUAACAGGAGUUGGUGGCUUGUAUUCUGGGGGUGGUUUCUCCACCGGAGGUGGCUUAUAAACUGGAGUUGGUGGCUUGUAUUCUGGGGGUGGCUUCUCCACUGGUGGUGGCCUGUAAACAGGGGUUGGUGGCUUAUAUUCUGGGGGAGGCUUCUCCACUGGAGGCGACUUAUAAACAGGGGUUGGUGGCUUGUAUUCCGGGGGUGGCUUCUCUACGGGAGGUGGCCUGUAAACAGGGGUUGGUGGCUUCUCCACCGGAGGUGGCUUAUAAACGGGGGUUGGUGGCUUGUAUUCUGGGGGUGGUUUCCCCAGUGGUGGAGACUUGUAAACAGGAAGAGGUGGUUUGUGCUCAUAUGGGGGUGGCUUGUGGUCAUUAGCAAGUGAGGGAGUGGUGAGGACCACCAAUCCAAGGAACAACACGAGUGAGCAAGCAGAAGACAUGUUUGGGCUCUGGUGAUGCACAAGUAGAAGAAAUGGGAACCAUUUAUAAUGCUUCGAGACCUUGGUUAGCACCAAAAUAUGUCAAAAUCUUGAUUACUUCAUUUCAUACAUAGAUUUAAAAUUAUUUCAAUCAACCAUGAUCCUUAAUUUUCUGGGUGGUCCAUAAAUGUAAUGGGGUCAAUUUGGGACCUAACAAGCUGAGAAGUUUGACAAUGCUGCAAGGCUUCAUCCGAAAGUCCGGGGAAGAAUAUUAGGAGUUACACUCCGUUUCCUUUUUUGGGUGCAUUUUUCUCCUUUAACAUUCUAUUCCCUUUUACAUUAGCAUUUGAUCUUAGCUCAUUUCAAGUACAAGUUUCUUGAACCCUAUACCAUUGUCAAAGUUGAGUAACCAUCUCUACUUUGCUCAAGAAACAUAAAAGACAAUGACAAUAAAGAAAAAGGAGAGAGACCAUACGUGACUUGGUUUAUAGGUGGCUUUGUGUUGACAUUUGAGUAUGGAAGCCGACAUGCAUCUUAGCUUCGAUUUUAAUUAAAUUUGUACAUUAGUGUCUGUGUCAUUCAUUUUGGUAUAAAAGGUCUCUUGAUUUCGUAAGUUUGGUAAGAACCGUUGAAAAUAGCAGUAGCAGCACAUGGUCCACUUUCUUUCACAAAAUAAUUUUAAAAGUUUAGAAGCAUAGGAGGUAACAUUAGUGGCCUUGUGGCUCAGCCACGAGUACUAUGUGGUGCUCGAGAAAUUGAGUUUAAUUUCCUUCCGAUAGUUCAUGAUAAGGUCCGUCACUGUCCUGAGACAGAUUGCGUUUUUUCUUUUUUCCUUUUUUAGUGUUUUAUUGACUAGCUAGGUGUGACUUUUCCUACUUUAAGGCACGAGGCAGAAAAGAAACUGGGAUUUAGUGCUUAAGAAGGCAAAUUUAAUUCGAUUUGGAUCUAAAAUUUGCCAGCAACAUGAGAUUUUCCAGCCUAUCGUUGCUCCACAUAUAGACAAGGCACUUGUAGAAGUGGCUUGUUUGUAGCCAUUCCCGAUAUUUGGACUCACUUGAUUCACCGGACACUUUGAUAAAAUUUAAUAUUUAUUAUUUAAUAAUUUAAAUUGAUUUAAAAUUAAAUUAUACCGAAGUUGUGAUUUAAAAAUUAUUAUUUAAUUCUUACUUUUAAAUAUGAAGAUUAUUUGAUAAAAAUAAUUUAAAAUUUAUUAUAAAUUAUCAAAUUAACAUAUUUAUCCUUAUAAAUUAUAAUUAAAACAGAAAAGGUCAAAUGAUUUGAGUAUCCAUAGAUGUGGUAAAAUAAUAAAAAAGAUUAUAAAAACAAUUAUGAUAAAUAAAGAUAAAAAGUAAAAUGAAUAUGUGAAUUUAAAGAAUAAAUUAAUUAUUUUUAUUUAUUACUUAAAAUUAUUUUUGACUUUAAAUUAUAUUAUUAAAUUAUUUUACCAAACAUACUUAAUUUAGUUAAUAAUUUAAAUUUAAUUUAAGUUAUUAAAUUGAUUCACCAAAUACCCACUUAAUCAAAGACUGAAGUAUACAUUAUUUGGCCAAAUGCAGCUAUUGAAAUUUAACUUUUUCCAAACUUAUUCAUUUUGUGGAAAUAUUUUUAGAAAUGAUUUUAAAAAUGCACUAUUCUGUGUGUUGAUUUUAUAUUUUGGCAUUAAUCCAACAUAGAAAACGGUUCUUAUUUUCGCUGUUAAAUAGGUACCAGAUCCUUAAUUAGUGCCGUGAAUCCGGCAGCUUCCAAUGAGUAAUUUGGACUUGGGUAUUGACAAUGUGUGGCCAUGCUUCUACUAUUUUAUUAUUCUUGAAACAUAUAUGAUAUAUUGGACUUUAUACAGGGAAAAAAAAAAAAAAAAGUCUUCACCAAAAAUGAUUCCUCCUAAAAAAUAGACUCCACAAACUAGGUUUAACAGGAAAAUGAUUCUAAUCUAGUAGUUUCCAGCCACAUGAGCAUUUACGUAACAAUAGUAUAGUUGAUAACGACUUUUAUUUUAUUUAUUUUUAAAUAGUUAAAGGGAUAAUUUUUGAGCUUAAAUUUUAUUUUUUUAUUUAGAAACAUUUUACUUUAUUUUUUAAUCAUAAUUCUAUUAUAUUAAUGUUUUAUUUUCUAUUUUUUAAUAUAUAAGGAGAUACUAAAUUUAUGUGAUUAUUUUUUAAAAAUUUAGUAUAUGAAAUUAAAUAAUUGGAUAUAUAUACAUAUAUCAUAUAAUGUUUUUUAAGUGUGAUUUUUGAACUUUUUAGUCAUUUUAUAAGUUUAAGCUUUUGAUUUUUUUUUUUAAACUUUGGUAUUUUUUAUUUUAUAUAAAACUAUUUUGAUUUAAUUUUAUUAAAAAAUAUUGGUAUUAUAAAUUAUUGUAUUAAUUAUUUUUUUAUAUUAUAAUGUAACUGGUAUAUACUAAAAAAUGUAUGCAAGUUCAAUUUAAGUUUCAAAUUAAAAAAUUUCAUUUAAAUAUUUAAUAACUUGUUCAUAAUAAAAAAUUAAACAACAUAAUACAAAUGAAAAGAAACAUAAAAGAAAAAGGAAAAAAUGGUCCUCUCUGUGUGUCACAUUACUAGGUCAUCCUCUUUUUCUAUGACCCUUACAAUAGAAUGGCAUAUUUGUCAAAUCUACUUAUGAAAGUUGGAAUGUUUCUACAUGUGUAGGGUCCAUUGGAACUAAUGGAGGAAAGGCUUAACGUCUAUGUAAAUCACAACGUUGCCUAGGUGGGCAUAGAUCUAGUUGUGUAACAUGAGAUGGUGUGAGAGUACAAUAUAUGCAUUGUAGUCUCUAUGGGAAGAGAGAUAGGUAAUGGUAGGGUGGUAGACGGUAGGGUGAUCUCUAAUAUAAUGACAUUUGAUGUGGUGGCUUCUAAGAGAGGAGAUAUAAGAGAUGGUAGAAUGACAUUUGGUGUAAUGGUCUCUAGUGCAAUGACAUGUGAUAUGGUGACCUAUAAAGAAGAGAUAUAGGUGAUGGUGAAGUGGUAUGUGGUGUAGUGACCUUUGAGAUAGAAAAUAGAGGUAAUGGUAGGUUGGCAGGUGGAGUGGUCUUUGGUGUAGUGACAUCAAUUAUAAAUGUCUCCAAGGGAGGAAAUAAAGGUGAUGGUAGGUAGUAAAUGUUGAGGUGGUCUUUGAUAUGUUAUGCUCUAAGAGAGAAGGUAUAGGUAAUGAUAAUAGGGAAUUUGACAUAGUGGUGUUGGAAAUAAAAAGUGAAAGUGACCGUAGAGGUGAAAGGGCAAGUGUAAAAGCCUCAAGUACGAAUGGAGUAAUUAAUGUGGAUGGUGCUAACAUAGUCUUAGGUGGAUACACAAAUAGUCAUAGUCAUCAACUAGCUUGCCCACCAUCUGUCUUUCUGCUAGUGAUAGGUUACAUCUUAAUAGUAAUGGCCAACAUAAGUGGUGUGGAUCCGAUUUUUUUACGUGUGUCCCCACUCAAUCGACAAGACUUAUUUUUUAUUAGUGAAAAAUUAAUUUUGGAAAAGUUGGAGUCACCACUUAUUUUAUUUUAUUUUAAAAAGGAAAGUAAAACAAGAAAGAGAACUCUAAAGAAGUGACUUCAUAGUUUUGGAAAAGUUAGUCUUAAAAAAUCCAAGUCUUGGUCCGGAGAUCAGGUUACUUAUUGGGAAGAUACCUCUAAGAGGUAAUACCCCUCUAAACCCUAAAGAAGUCUCUAAUGACUAAGUUGAGGAGAAUGUGGUAAUUAAUUAAUUGAUUGAGGGUACCUAGGUAGACUAAGGUGAUUUCAGAAUUAACAUACCAAGCUAGAAAGUCCAAUCAUGAUCAUAAAAGAGAGUCAAAGUAUGUACCUGAACUGCUUCUCAAACGCUAUCAUAAAACAUCAAAGUUAGUAUAGAAAUAUAACACAUAAUAUUUGUUUUAUCCAAGCAAAUAAAGCAUACAUCUAAGCACCCAAGAAUCACAUCAAGUAUGGAUAUAGUCAUCAAUAGCAUACGUGUCCAUAGAACUAUCGAAAGUAAAUGUGGAGGAGCGUAUCUGGACAACAUAGAUAACUUAUAAUGUGCUUCCACAAGACAUGGGGGUUAGAUAAAAGUUAUAAUAAUAAUUAGUAAAUGAAAGAAUUCUAGCAUGUUUGGUAUCUAAAUAACAUAGCAAAAAUGAACAAGAGUACACGAAAACAUCAAUUAUCACACGAGUCAUAUUGGCUAGUAUUUAAUCAAUAAACCAACAAUAAAUGACUAUAAACAUAUAAAAUGACAUAUUCAAAGAGACCCAAACAUAAAGAGCCUAGAACACAAGCUUACACUAAAUUUAGAAAACUAAAACAUGGAAUUUUAAAAGCAUAAAUUAGCAAACAAAUUGAUGGAAACUAAAUUUAGAUAACUUAAGAAUAUUUUUCUUAUCCUUCAAUUUAAAUCAGUAAGCCAACAAUAAAAAAUUAUAGAAACAUGGAAUAUCAAGAUCAAUGGGAUACCUAAACUAUAAUUUUUAAAAGAAAAUAAACUAAGCAUAAUAUCUACAAAGCAACUAAACUAACAUUUUUUUAAAAAUAAAUUAAACAUGACAUUAAUGGAGUAACCAAACUAAAUUAAAGUAAACUAAAAACAUUUAUGAAUUUUCAAACAUGGAAUCAGCUUUCUUAGUAAAUUAAAAUUAUUAAAAUAAAAUCUAAGCUUAAAAAUGAAUUAAAUACUAACUAAAGCAAAUCUAAAACCAAAUAUUUAACACAUAGGAUCAAUUAUAUUAACAAACUAAAAUUUUAUAAGAACACUUAAACCUAAAGUUGAAUUAAAAACUAACCAAUUUUUAAAACUAGAUCUUUAACCCAUAGGAUCAAUUAUAUUAACAAAUAAAUAAUAAAUAAUAAAUAAAUAAAACUCAAACCUAAAGAUGAACUAGAAAUGUACCAAAGUAAAUUCAAAACAAGAUCUUUAACACAUUAGAUCAAUUAUAUUGACUAACUAAAAAAAAAAAAAAAAAACACUCAAACCUGAAACGAUGUAUUAGAAACUAACCAAAGCAAAUUUAAAAUAGAGUCUUUAACACAUAGGAUCAAUUAUAAUCACUAACUUAAAUUACAAUUUUUGAAACAUGAACUAAUUAGUGUUGGAUUAAUUAAACUAAUUAACUAAAAAAAACUAUAAACUAGAAUACGGUGAAUCAAGAAUUCAAAUCAACAAACAUAAAAUAUGGGUACAAUGAAAUGAAAAUCUAUUAAACUAAUAAGACGGAAAUAUGACAAACUCAUGAACCCACAUUUUGAUCAACUAGGAAAUAGAAAUUAAUAGACCUGUAGCAUGGAUACAAUGAAAUGAGAUCAGUUAAAUUUAUUUGCCGAAAUUCUAAAAAACACAUACACUCAAAUAAGAUCUAAAUCUAAGACCAAGCAAAACUCAAACUUUCUCAAUCUAAUGCAAUGAAUCAAAACUAAAAUUAAAUAGAAAUCAAACCAUUUUUUUUUUAUCUAAUAUAAUAAAUCAAAGCUAAAACUAAACAAAAUCGAAUUUUCUUAAUUUAAUAUGAUGAGUCAAAGCUAAAAUUGAACAAAGUUCAAACCUUUAUAUAAUGGAUCAAAGUUAAAUCUAAAUGAAAUCCAUACUUCCACAAUUUGAUAUAACAAAUCAAAAAUAAAACUAGAUAAAAAAAAAGUCAAAGCCUUUCAACUUGACAUAGUGAAUCCAAACUGAAACGAAACAAAAUUUUAACUUUUCCAAUGAAACCCAAUAUAGAAAAAAUUAGCUUACCUUCUUUAGAAUAUAUGUAUGGGCCAUAAAGAAGUCACCUUGGUGCAUGUGUUCCUCACUUUGACGCCAAUGGACGACUUUCUAUGGUAGCAAAUGGAGAUCCUUUUUGGUGGUAACUUGCGUGUGGAAACCUAUGGUACAACCAAUGUCAUCUUUUAUUGUGCGUGUGGACCAAUUUCUUCUCGAGAACUCAUGUGUGUUGUGCUCAAAAUAUGUUGCCUGUGAGAAUCUAUUGGUAUACCCCACAUAUGGUUUCCUUGAGAGAAUCUGUGGUUGUGUGUGGGCGUUUUCUUCAUGACAGCAUGUGGAUGUUCCCAUCUAUGGUAGAUUGGUUGUGAUGCUUUAGUGCAUGGUCUCCAUAGGAAUAGUGUGUUAUGGAAAUUUGGUUUUUUUAUUGGUGCAUGUUGUCUAGACUUUCCCAUAUGCGUGGACUGUGUGUUCAUGCUUUUCUUUUCGGAUGGUCGCCUGUGUUAAUGUGUGGCGGUGUCUACAAUGAAAGAUACAACCCUUUCUCUCCUUCUGCGUGAUAGAAAAGUCAAUCCCCCAUGGUGCGACUAUGUUCCCUCGUCCUUUUUGAAAAAUUUUGGUGUUUUCCCCCCAAAAAAUCCCCUCCAAAAAUCUAAUUAUAAAUGUCUGCUUUGGCCUAAUGUGUGUGCUACUUUUUUUUUCCUUCUUUUUAUGGUUGUGCGUGCUUUUCUUGAUACGUGGCUUAUUUCUUAAGGAUAUGAUUCGCUCCCAAUUGGUGUCUCAGCUGAUUCAUGUCCUUUCAAUGGUCCCUGACAGUGGUGCCAUUUGAUUCGUGUCCAGCUGGUGUCCCUUGAUUGUGGUCCUCAGAAGGGAGUAAUCAAUAAAAUUUAUAACCUAUUACACCAUGUAUUAGGAUAGCCUUAGCUAGCAUAGCAUAGUGGCUCUAGGGUCGUUUAUUGGGAUGAGUUUUCACUUCACAAUUGAUAUUAAUUCAAGAGCUGAAUUGGUGCCUUUUCAUUUCAAGGUUAGCUUUAAAAGAAAACAUAAUCUUUGGUGGAAAAAGGUUUGGUUUUAAACUAACCAAAAAUAGUAACUGAUUUUACUUACAAAGAAAAGUGUUCUUUGGAGUUUAGAUCACUAGGCUCAGGUUCCUCAUACAAAAAGGAGAGUUCCGAUCAUUUGUUUCUUUUCCUCGCAUUAGAGAAUUAACAUAUAGUUAAUUCUCUAACCGGUGCGGUACAUAUGCUUCCCAUUAAUGGGUUCAAACACUAAAUACCUCUCACUGAUGCACCUUGCAAUGGCUCGUGCCUCUCACCUAGCAUUUAUCAUUCAAGGUGAUCUUUAACCUUGGAUUACCCAUCAAAAGCUCGCAAGAGAUAACUAAAGGAUGUCUCCUUAGAGUCCAAAAGCUUACCAAGUGUUGGUUAUUCUAGAAAAUCCUACCUUCAAACCACCUCCCAAAGGCUCGCAAGAGAUAAACAAGUGCAUCUCAAUGGAUGAAGAUCACUUGCCUUACCAAGUUUUGGCCCAGAUGAUUUAAUGACAUUUUAAGUUAACUAAAAAGAUAAAAACCAUUAACGGGUCACACUUUCUCUUCAUUAAAAACUAAAACAACAAAACUUCCAAUUUAUGCAUGAGGAAACUUACCUGGCUUUCUUCACUUCAAGAGAUGAAGAGCCUAGCCACUCAUCAUUUGAGGAAAAAUCCUCAGAGUUUGAUUUGCUAGAAAUAAAAAUAAUGAGAAAACAAAAAUAUAUAUAUGAAAAACAGAGCAAGUUCUCUGUAAUAUAUUUUUCUUCCUUAUACAAAAGGUUGUCUCUAAGAACAAGUUCCCGAGAUCUAUCUGAUUGUAAAUAAAAUUACAACUAUAUAUAAGAGGUUAUUCACCCCUUUGUUCUUUCUUAAAGACUAAGGAAUCCUAUGAUAGGUGGGUUACAAGGAGAGUUUGGGGAUUUAGACAUCAAAUAUCUAAAGCAAAAUAUCUCAAGAUGUUAGUCGGAAAUAUCAGGAAGCUUCAGGAGAACACCGCGACACUGUAUACUGAGAGAAAAACUCUCCGGGUAAGCUCUAUCAAAGGAUCCAGACAUGUCUGACUGGGAAAGUUGAAACGUCCUUCUCUCCCAUCCGGAUGUGAGAUAUCCGGAGAAAGUGAAAUGUCGGUCGGACAGAAUUCUUUCCCCGGGUGGAAUGAGUUGUGUUGCGCGUCGCAAGGGGGACCGUCUGCGUGUACAAGUUGUAGGGACCCCUCUCCCGGAUGACACCGAGCGCGUAAGGCUAUCCGGAUCAACUCCAUUCGGAUUCCCCAAGAGGACAUGUGGCGUGCUCCCCUAUCAGGACUCCCUUAGGGAGAAGCACACGACACUCGUGAACAUCAUACCCGGACGAUAGCAUGUCCUAUCCGGAUGUGUUGUCCGGAUCAUUGACUAAAGUGAGCAAGCCUUGCUACGUCAUUCGGACAGCUUGCCACAUACCAUGUUCCGUCGCCAUCUGAUGGUGUGUCCGAACGCCUUGUCCGGACAUCUUUUGCUCCUUGCAUUCCGGAUUUGCUUAUGACAAAGGACUUCAAAGCUUCGGUUCUUCAUGUUUCUGAGCUUUCCAUUGCUUUGCCAUGGAUUCCAAAGAACUCUCCUUAAUCACGGAUUGCUUUGGUGAUCAAAAAGUUAUCAAAACACAAAAACUUAACAUAGUUUGAUUAGAAUUGAUUGCAAGGGUUCUUAAUAUGUUAAUUGGGUUAAAAGGUGAUAACUACUACUCAAAAGUGUUUAUAAGAAUUAAUUACAAGCUAUGAAAUAACACUUUUUGAGUAGUAAUCAGGAUACAUCCUAGUUUUUCAUGGAAUUGAUAGUGGGUUGUUGUGCAUGAAUGCCACCAUUUCAACUAUGCUGUUGUUAUUUUUAAAAAAAAUAUGGAUUAUGCGCGAGUGGCAAUUCUCCACUAUGGAAAGUGGAUUGCUCCUUCAACCCAUGCAUGGCUACGUAUUCCUAUGUCUUUCUACUUGUGUUUGAUCCUCCAAAAAAAAUUUCGGUUUAGUGCUAGUAGAUUUUAAGUGGUGGAUCCCCAUUUUUUGAAAAUGAAGUGGCAGCCUCCCAUUUCAAGACAAAAUGGUAGCCUGCCUUUAAUCUUUGGAGAAAAAUCUGUGCAUGACCUUUUUUUUUCCCAAAAAAUCCGUGCAUGGUGUCCUUUAAUAUUUGGAGAAAAAUCUAUGUUGGAUCUUUUCUUUUCUAGAAACAUUUGUGUGGUCUUUUUUGUUAGCCCAAGGGUUCUUCUAAUCAAGUUUUGAUGAUAACAAACCAUGGUUAAGUGACUAAUUGGUUUAAUGAUUAAGAAUCUCAAACAUAAAAUCGAAAAUUCAUCAAAGGACCAAAUGGAUACAAGAUCGAGACGCUUGGAAGACUUGUAAUCAUAGGAAACUAAUGUAAGAUGAAUGCAUGAGUGCACUUAGGAUUUUCACACGUUUCAUGCAACUUAGAAAACCCAGUUUAUUCUUUAAAACUUCAUCCCAGUUUAUUCUUUUUAUGGUUGUGUGUGCUUUCCUUGAUACGUGGCUUAUUUAUUAAGGAUACAUCCCAGUUUUUCAUGGAAUUGACAGUGGGUUGUUGUGUGUGAAUGCCACCAUUUCAACUGUGCUGUUGUUAUUUAAAAAAAAAAAAAAUGGAUUGUGCGCGAGUGGCAAUUCUCCACUAUGGAAAGUGGAUUGCUCCUUCAACCCAUGCAUGGCUACGUAUUCCUAUGUCUUUCUGCUUGUGUGUGAUCCUCCAAAAAAAAUUUUGGUUUAGUGCUAGUAGAUUUUAAGUGGUGGAUCCCCUUUUUUUGAAAACUAAGUGGCAGCCUCCCAUUUCAAAACGAAGUGGUAGCCUGCCUUUAGUCUUUGGAGAAAAAUCUGUGCAUGACUUUUUUUUUCCCAAAAAAUCCAUGCAUGGUGUCCUUUAAUAUUUGGAGAAAAAUCUAUGUGGGAUCUUUUAUUUUCUAGAAAAAUUUGUGUGGUCUUUUUUGUUAGCCCAAGGGUUCUCCUAAUCAGGUUUUGAUGAUAACAAAUCAUGGUUAAGUGACUAAUUGGUUUAAUGAUUAAGAAUCUCAAACAUAAACUCGAAAAUUCAUCAAAUGACCAAAUGGAUACAAGAUCGAGACGCUUGGAAGACUUGUGAUCAUAGGAAACUAAUGUAAGAUGAAUGCAUGAGUGCACUUAGGAUUUUCACACGUUUCAUGCAAUUUAGAAAACCCAGUUUAUUCUUUAAAACUUCAAUUUCAUUAAAACCCGAGUUUUUAACUAAUGUACCUUAGGCAAAAUGUUUUAUAAUUGGCUUAAUAAUUCACCUAAAUACAUUUUCUAAGUGUUAGAAAAGAAAGGAAUUAAAAAAAGGUUUUCGGGGCAAAAAAGGCUCAACCGGUCGAGGCUAUGGUCAACCGGCUCAACCGGUUGAGGAACCAAUCGAUCGGUUGUGCUUGUCCGAUCGAAGACCAAUCGAGGGAUGCCAAAAAAUUUCUCUCUCUCCUAGUGGCCUUCUCUUCCCGGUCGAGGUUCGGUCUAGGCAACGGUAACAUGUCAAGCAUUAAAUGCUCCGACGACUAGUGAAUCGGUCGACCCCUAGCCCGAUCGGACGAGGUUGCCUUUUGCUGUUUUUGACUCCCGAGCUUAGAAACCUAUAAAUUGAGAGCUCCACUUCAUUUAUUGAUAAAAGAGAACACUUGCAUUCAAUAGUCUACCUACCUUUUCUUGAUCAAAAAGCUCUCAUUUCCUUCAUAGUGCAUUAAAUCAUCACUUGCAUAUCCUUUAGUGCACUAUUGUGUGUCAUCCUAGCUUUGUUUUGUAUUUGAGCUAUCCUUAAGCUAGGUUGAGGGAUUAUUUCUUAUAAAAAUCUGAGUGUUAAAGCCUUCAAGAGAUUUGAAUCUUGAAGAGAUUGUGUAAGAGCCCAUUGGAGCCGGAGUCCAAGUGUAAGAAGAUUGGAAGCUUGGUUGAAGCUUCAAGUUAGUGGAACCCUCACUCGGUUAGGAGGUUGAGGAGAGUGGACGUAGGUAAGGAAGUGUCGAACCAUUAUAAACCCGAGUUUGAAUUCUCUAACUCUAUCUCUUUAUUUUGCUUAUAUUGUGUUUGAAUUUGUUGUGAUUGAAAAGAUUUUAAAAACCUAAUUCACCCUCCCCCCUUUUGGGUUUUUUUUUCUUAAUUAAGCAUAACCUUUGUUUUCUAAUUUUCUUUUUAGGAAAAUCCAUGCGUGGUAUGUCCAAACUCUCCAAGUGGCAGUCUGCCUUCUUCUAAAAAAUUUGUUUCUAUUUCUUUAUUCGACUACCUUCCAUGUCUUCCUAAUGAGUGCUUGUGCUCAAUGGUCAAUCCCUGGUGGUUGCCUCCUUUUCCCAUAUAUACGUGUUGCAAAAUCAACAUCCCACUAUAUGUGGGUUGCCUCUAUGGCAAGUUCACAUUUCCCACAUGAAACCUAUGAGUUUCCACCAAAAAUUGCCAUGAAAAAGUCUUUAUAUGCAUCUCAUGCAAUAAAAAGUCAAGCCAAUACUCAUCUUAUCUCGAAAAAUAAGUAACCAAAAUCAAGAUCAUGCCUAAGUGAACUAUGCCAAAAGAAGUGUCCAAGUGACCUAUUAUGAAAAAAGUGCCUAAGUGACCUAAGGUGAAUGUGUGUAAGCUGGAAGGUGUCUAGGAUGUUUAGGACAAUGCCUAAGCCUAAAAUAGGGUUGCCAAGGGUCACAAUGGGGUUAGAUAAAUCUCUCAAUCAGAGUCUCCAAGGUGGCUCAUAAAAGAUAAGCUACACGAGUAAUGAUGGGCCACCAGGGAAUUAUUGUAAAGCACCAAACGAACACAUAAUAGGACAUGUGUUAGAAUGAAAAAAUGGAGGGUUUACAAGUGGUCUCAUGGAUGAGCUUGAUAAUUUAAAUGACUCACAUAAUGAACGUAUGUGAUGUUUCUCUCCAAUAACAAGCAAAACAUCACUAGCAAUAUGAUGAAUGUCUCCUAAAUCACUUGAAGUAGUCCUAGCAAAUCAAUUAGAAAAAUCACACAUAUUGCUCUAAUGUAAUAUUAUAUACAUCUGUCAAUGAAUGGGAGAACUAAUGACACAACCAUCAUGUUGAUAUCUCGAACCCUCUAAUCUCAUAUGUAGGUGGGAUCACACUUAGAAACUCAUAACACAGUAAUGACCAAUCUAAGUCAAAAUGUGUUGGUGAUCGGAGGCCCAUGAAUAUGAAGUUCUAGGAUGAUAAUGACAUCUUAUAAAGUAAUGAUCAUCUCCUUAAUAGAUAGGUGAAAUGUGUGUGUCUUAGGACACCAUCUCUCAACAAGACUUGUGAUCAAUCCCCAGUCUAGUGUAACAUGCCUAUUAUGACAUCCAUCGUAAAAUCUAGACUAGAUAAUAUAAGGACAAAUGUGAGGGUUCAUCUCCCUUUCCCACAUAAAUUUAAAAAAUUAUUAUUGACAAGUUAAGACCAAACUAAGUUGCAAAAUAUAAAUAAGUCCAUUAGAUAACAAAUUUAUGUUUUCUCAUUUUCUCAUUUUUAAAGAGAUAUUAUGUGCUUCCAUGUACAUACAUGCUAAAGUCAAUUAUACGAGACUUAUAUCCAUCUUGUAGAACCAAAUCGAACCUAUCUAAUAGAUCCAGAUUAGAAGUAUGUCCUCUAUACUCCAUAUUUAUAACACAUUUAUAAAGAUAAAUGCUAAAAAAAUGUUAAAGAUAUAAAUUUAAUGAACCAUACUUUAUGAUUUUAAUUCUCAAUUAUUGUUCAUAUUUAUAAGAGAAAAGUUAAAAAAAUUGAUAGAGUUUUCCCUCUAUCAUGGACAUUAUCCCAAAUAAAAAUAAAUUGAUUAUGCAAAUUACAUUAAUAUUUGUAACCAAAUGAUCAAUAACUAUCUUGUAUCAAUUUAGUAAAUAAAUUUAAGUAUAUCUUUUCAUUUAUGACUAACAAAUAACUCAUACUUGUCCAAUAAAAGCCACACCUAAUUUCUAAAAUUUUGUCUUCACCUCAAGUGAGUGUUACAUUGAGAAAGAAAAAAUAUGAAAGAAAAAAUGAACACCUUUUUCUUUUAAUAAAAAAAGGCCAUAACGAAACAUUAAAUCUCACUGUUACACCUAUCUUCAAUGGAAACAUGAGGAUGUGAAUGGUGGCGGUGAUAUUCUUUGCUUGAAGCUCAUAAACAAAUAUUCCUUACUAAGCCUAUGCCAUUUAGUAUUUCAAUAGUGGACCCCCCCCCCCCCCCCCCCCCCCUCCUUGCAUUUCAGAUUUAGCAAACUUAGAACCAAAUAACAAAGUGCAUUUGAACCCAUAAAGAAGUAAUGAGACUCUCCUAUAUUGGCAAUAGAAGAAAUUUUUGGAGGUAUAGGAGAUUCACGGAUGAAGAAGUUGGGCCCCAAUUGAGAUAAGACCCAAGAAAAGAUGGGGUAGAGAGGGAUGGUUGGAAAUUGUAAAGUAAGAUUUUCAAAAUGUAGUUGAUGACUAAGAUUUUGACAAUUUAAAAAAGGUUUAAAAAUGUAGUUAGCAAUCGGGGUUUUGUAACAUUUAAAAAAUAAAAUAAAAUCUCAGGCCACAUGGUAGCCCAUGUGAUUCAGAAGCUUGAGAAUUAUUUUAUAAGAAGACUUAAUUUGUGAUUUUUUUAUAACUAUAUUAUUUUUUUUCUUAACACACGAAAAAAAUUAUGAAAUAAGACAAUUUUCCUAAGAAAGCAUGUAAGUGACUCUUGGUUAUUUUAUUUAACUUCUUCUAGUUUGGAGAGGAUUAAUACCUUUGCUUUUACUCACUUGCUUGGAUAUGUACACGUUGUUCAUGUCACUUUUCAUUUAAUUUUCUGAUUAAGGGAAUUGGAACCGUACGUAACUGUCUUUAUUCCCUCUGAAACUUGGACUUGGAGUUGGACUUUCAAUCUCAUCAGUCGUGUUUCCAUAAAAAAGAAGAUGGAUUAACCAAUUUUCCUAUGCCUACUAAUCAUACACAAAACUCCACUUCCAAAUAAAAAGGAAUGGGAUAUCACUUGUUAAUAGUGGCUAAAGACUAUUAAUAACCAUGCAAAGAAAUGUCACAUUUUUUGUUCUACGCAAAUUUUAUUCAUCAACUACUAGAACCAUUUCAUACAAUAGUAGCUUUUCGAUCCUUUGAUAAAUGGACACUUGAUGUGAUAACACCAACUACACCUAUAUAUUCAAGCAAUCAUGCGUAUAUAAUAGUGGAUAUGGAUUACUUCUCUAAAUGGGCAAAAGUUUUGUCAUUCAAGGAAAGUGAACGAGGAAACACAAGUUUACUUUCAUCGGAACUAAUAUUAUAUAUUGAUAUGACUUCCCAUUAUUACUUACGAUGGAAUAUGCUUCCAUAAAAUGGCCUAGAUGAACAAACUAUCCAAGAAGUUUGGGAUCAAAUAAUAUAUAUAUAGUUCAUGUGUGAUUCUUUGGUUGACAACCUUGUUAAGGGGUGAGUGAAGCACUUUGGGCAUACCACAUACUACAUGCUAGACUUCCACCCAAGCUACCCUAUAUUCCUUAUGAACAAAGUAGAAGUUGUCAUCUCUCUUGAAUACCAAAUCCUUUCACCUAAUAAUGCUAUCUAAAAAGGUCUUAAAAAGGAUAAAAAUGCGCAUAUUUGAAUUUUUGAAUUAGGAGUGCUACUUAAAAAGAAGCUAGAUAUACAAUAAUAGAAUGUUAUCAAGCAUAUCUCUUCAAAGUUUUUGACCAAAAAAUAUAUGAUUUCUCAUUUUAGGUAGGAGACUUAGUACUCACUAUUCAAAAACCAAUUAUCAUUACUCAUAAAAACUAAUAGAAAGUUUGGGCCAAAGUAGGAUGGACCUUAUAUUAUGCAACAAUUAUGCCUAUAAAAUUGUUGCAAAAGAGGUUUUAGAAUCAAAUCAAUGAAUGAAAAAUUAUUAAAGCAUUACUAUGCUUGAAGGCUAGUCAUUUUCCCUUAAAGUGCAAUAUUAAGUUGCAUAGUACUAUGUGGAUCCGCAUUUUUCACAUGCGUUCCCACUCAUUGUCGAGACUCACUUUUUAGAAGUGAAAAAUUAGUUUUAUUAAAGUCGAAGUUGCCACUGGGGAUUUGAACCCUAACAAAAGGUUCAAUUUAAGGAUAAAAAUAUCGAUAAUCACAUAUAUAUAUAUUGGUACUUUGAUUUUAUGAAUAUAUUGAAGAAAUAUGGACAAAUAUUUUGACACAAAAUAUGUACAAAAUAAAAAUUAUAUAAAAAGUAAAAAUAAAUAUUUUAAAAUUAUUUUUUUAAAUAUAUAUAUAUAUAAUUUGACAUAUUUGAUAAUAAUAUAUAAGGGUCUCCAAAAAGCCCGUGGCCCGCUUUAGGCCCGGUCCGACCCGACAGGCUAAAGCCCGGCCCAAGCCCGCCGGGCCCAAGCUCGGCCCGAGCCCGUUUAUGGGUGGGCCGGGCCGCGAGCCCGUAGGCCUGCUCCUUUAAAAAAAAACUACAAAAAUAAAAAGUAUUAAAAAAAAUAUUCAUUUCAAAAUUUUAUUCAUUGAAUGUAUAAUUACAUUUGAAAAUGUGGGAAAAGUUUACAUCACUACAAAAUAAAUACAUCCCAACUAGGUUGGCACCUAUUUAUUUGUCAAUCAUCUGUAUUUUUCAACCACAAAAAAUAAAAAUAAAAAUAUAAUAUACAUUUAGUCAUUAUUUUCUGGCGGUGAUGGCGAACUAUCAUGCAUCCAUGAAGAUCUUGAUAAUUUUAAAGAUUCCAUAUCGGUAAGCAUCUUUGUUUCUCGAAUGGAAUCAUACAUCCUUUUAUCUGCUAUUUCCCAAUCUUUCACACAUAUCCCUGCUUUAAUAACAUCUGACGCUAAGUUGCAUCGUUUUUUACUAACUACUCUUCCACCUGCACUAAAAGCAGCUUCUGAUGCAACUGUACUCACAGGAACUGUUAGUACAUCACGAGCAAUUAUAGAAAGCACAGGAUAUUUGUGUUGAUGUGAUUUCCACCAUAUUAAAAUAUUAAAAUCUUCUUGAUCUUCAAAUGAAAUUAUAUCAGUAUUAAGAUAUUUAUCUAAAUCAGAUGUAUUAUUUGGAGAAUUAUUUGUUGUCUUUUUUCGACUUUUCAACAUUUCUAGAGCUCCUUUAUAAAAAGAUGAGGAGUUUGUAGAUGUAGGUGGUAAUUUAAUAGUAUUAAUAUCAUUACCAUAUUUUUCUUUAUAAUAGUUAUAUAAAUUAUAUAAUAAUGAAUUUAUUUCAUUUUUAAUUUCUUCAAUUUUUAUUUGGUCAUUAAAAUAAAUAAUUGUUAACCAUUCAUCCAAAGCUUCAAAUUUCAAUCUAGGGUCCACAAUUAAAGCAAUAUAAAAAAUUAAAGGUAUUUCUCCCCAAUAUUUUCUAAAUUUUUAUAUCAUUACAAAUAUUGUAUCAUUAAAUAUUUCAAAACUUAAAUAUUUUUGAAGUACAAUAAAAAUAUUAGUUAUUUGCGUAAUAACUCGAUUUGAAGUUGGAUAAUAUACACCACAAAAAAUGUUUGUUGAAGUAUCAAAAAUUUCAAAAAGAUCUCUUAAAACAUCCGCAAUAUGCCAAUCAUAAUCAUUUAAUGCAUAAAUAUCUGCUUCAUAAUCAUUGUUAAUUAAUUGUAUUUCAUAUAAUUCGACUACUUUUCUAUAUUUUGUAAUAUUUUCUAAAAGUUUAUAUGUGGAAUUCCAUCUAAUAGCCAUAUCCAAAUUUAUAUUUUUUCUUUUCAUAUUUAACAUUUUGCAACAAUCAAAAAAUAAUUCAUGUUUUGCUUGAAAACUAUUAAUACUAUAUGCAAUGCCUCUAAUUUUUUUCCAAUGUACUAUCAACAUUUUUUAAUCCAUCCUUUACAAUUAAAUUUAAAAUAUGUGCACAACAACGCACAUGAAAUAUUUUAGCAUGAUCUUCUUUUACUUGCCAAUAUCGUUUUAGUCUAUGUAUUGCUGCAUCAUUAUUAGCAGCAUUAUCUAAUGUUAUUGUCAAUAUUUUAUCACGAAUGCCUAAAUCUAUAAUUUCAUCAUUUAUUAAAGAUGCUAUAUUUUUACCACUAUGUGGAGUAUUUAUUAAUUUAAAUAAAAUUAUUCUUUUAUUUAAUUUCCAUUCAUUAUCAAUGUAGUGAACAAUUAUAUAUAAAAAACCAGUAUGAGUUAAAGAUGUCCAAAUGUCAGAUGUUAAACGAAUAUUUCCUUCAAAAUUUGCAAAAUUUUUUUUUAAAAUUUCUUUUUGUGUAUAAAUUUUUUUCAUAAUAUCUCUUUUAACUGUAUUUCCAGAUCAACCUUUAAAUUGAGGAUUAAUACCUCGUUGAAUUGUUCUUGCAAAAUCAUGAGUUUCCAUCAUGUUGAAAGGUUGUUCUGCUCUUAUUAUAUAAUCAAUCAUUUCUUCACAACAGUUAGAUUCAUCAUAAGAAAAUGUUUUUAAAUUUCCACUUUCAUUUUUACUUAAUUGCAUAUAAUUUCUAAUAUCUACAUUAUUUUUAGUUUUACAAUUUUCAUGAUGUCUUUUUAAAUGACUUGUAUCUGCAUUUGAGCCACCAGUAAGAAAUUUAUUACAAAUUUUACAUUUUGCUUUUAUUUUUUUUUUAUUAUUUUCUAAAAUUAUUUCUAUUCUAUCAAAAAAAUUCCAUAUAUUUAAAGUAAAUUUUUUGUUUGAUGAUAUUUCAUCACAUGGACUAGACGAAGAAGCACUUGUCAUAUUAUAAUUAUUGAUAAAAUAUUAUGCCAAAAAUAAUAAAGUAAUAAAUAUAAAAAAAAAUGUAACAAAAAAAAUAAAGUAGUAGGGGUGAAGUAUGUUACUCAAUUAGAGAACCUAUGCAGAAAUUCCUAGCAAAUUUGAACUCUUGGAGCCACCAAUGCUUGUUUUGCACCAUCAACAAUAUUGUAUAAUUUGAGGGAAAAAUAAAAGAAUUUAAAAUAUUGUAGAAUGUGAGAGAAAUAGAGAGAAUUUGAUGAAAAAAUGAAAAGGAAGAAAAUGUAUUUAUAGGAAGGUUAAAAAUAAUAAUAAUAAUAAUAAUAAUAAUAAUAAUAAUAAUAAUAAUAAUAAUAAUAAUAAUAAUUGGCCAUGUGACCGUUGGAGGCUUAGCUCCAACGGUCACAUGGGCUGGAGCUAGGCUCCAACAGUCACAUGACCGUUGGAGCCUUUAAUUUUUUUUUUUAAAAUAAUAUACUUUAUUUUUAUAUAUAUAUAACUAACUCAAUUAAUAAACAUAAAAAGAAUAUAGUUCAGUUGGUUAGAACCUUGAAGUUUAAACAUGAGGGGAGGGGUUUGAAUCCCUCCCUCUCCCUUAGGGGCUUUUUUAAAAGCCAUUUUGGCUUAUUUCAAAAAGCCUGUCGGCCCGACCCGCCCUGCAGCCCGCGGGCCUAGCAUUUUAGCAUGGCCUGGUCUGUUGACUAGUCAAAUGGCUCAUAGGCUCGGCCCGAACUGGGCCGCGGGCCUCUUAUUUACGGACCGGCCCGACCCGGCCCGCCCGUUGGAGACCCUUGAUAAUAUCUUCUAUAUUAAGUUACAUUAUAGUUUAUUUUACAAUAUUAUUAUGAUAAUAUGUCUAAUUUUAAAAUAUAUUUAAUAUUAAAAUUAUGAUCUAUUUUAAUUUAAAUGUAUUCAAUGAUAUCAAAUAAAUAAUAAUAUAUGUAUAAUUCUUUUAUUAUUUAUAUUUAUUAUUUUUAAUAAAUAUAUAGAUUAUAUAAAAAAGACCGGAUAUAUCUUUUCAAAUUUUGUAUCGCUCUCCAAGGAUAUUAGAUGUAUGGGAAUUUGUAUUGCUAUCUACGGAUACGUUGAUAUAUGGGUGAUUUAUCAGGAUAAUUAGAAAUUCUAAUUAUGUAAGCAGGUACGGAGUUCUGUGUCGGUGCGAUCUUGUCGACAACAGCUCCAAAUUGUGCAUCUUGCUCAUAGAGAGUAGCGGAAUGCACCAAUCGUAGGCUCAGAGUACCACUGAGUCGUCUGGCAGAGACCCAACUGAAGGUGCCUGUGUUGUUCCUGAUCUGAUCAGGCUUCAAACUACAAGGUGGAAUACUGGUUCCCCUAUAUCAGAAGCUGGAGAUACCCACCCCAUAUGCUCGUCUGGAUGUGCUCCUACCCUUUGAAGCCUUCUUCCGAGUCAAGUCCGAAUUGAUAAGGCUAGUGAGUUCCCAACCAACUGUACUCAGCAUGCUGCCAGGUGGAGACCCUCCAUAUUUGAUGGCUUCCUAAUAUUAAAAUGCUGACCACUGGUCUUCAUGUUCCACAGGCUUAAUUGUGUCCUUUGCUGAAAGAAUGGAUAGUGAUCCAUUUUAACACAUGAUUCACGCCGUCUUUGCCAUUCUUCAUGGUCUAGCCCUUUUAUAUAUAUGCUUCCUGAACUGUUGCUAUUAAUAAAAUGUGGUAUCUAUCCCGUACACCUUCCUGAUGGCCAGCGAAUGCAGAAGCUACAGAAACGGUUCCAUCUUUUGCUUCCGCCACUUUGGCAUCCUCCAUGAUGAGAUCGAAGGUGAAUAAUCAUAUUCUGGGGAUUUAUGUCCUGGAUAUUCUCAGUAAUGCCCAAUUUCCUGGUGCCGGCCUCAUUUCCAUGGGAACUGAUGGAUAACUUAAGGCUUCUACCAUCUGCGUGGUUCGCUUCUAACACAGGAAACUUCACGGCUAAAAGCAAGAUACCAAGAACAUCAAGGCUGUGACAAAAAUUAGUAUUUUUAACUUGUAGGAAUUUGAAAGGCAACCAACCAUCUAGCUCUGUUCUUAAAGCUCCCAUAGGAGGAUCAGAGGCUGGAUUGCUCAAGAUGAACUCAUCCAUUGUUGCACUUAAAAAGAAUUGGCAUGAAUUGUGGCCGCUCUAAUAGGUUCCCUAAACCAUCAUCCAAGUGGGCUUGCGGAAGGUAGCGAGUUUAAAACACCUAGGGCGAUGAACAGUGGACUGUGAUGCUCACAAAAGAGAAAAGGAAGAAUUCAAUAAUUCCUAAGAAUCCAUUUGCCUGUCAUCCAAAUUUUUAUAUUCUCUUCAGUCUGACGCGUUAUGCCAUAUAUUAAAAAUAGCGGCUUCUUCCAAGCCGAGACAGACUGUGCAAAGUUCGCAAGGCCAAUCAUCACCAUAAUCUGAAGUUGGCCUCCUCAAUCGCAGCUUGUAUCCGAAUGCUCACUUCACGGGAUGGAUUGUAAUGAAAACUAAUCUCAGUCCCAGCUAUGGCAGCAUCCUCACUUGACAGCAUUUUCUGCAUAUUCUAGAACAAAGCAAUAAACCCUCAAAGGCUCCUUCGGAUCAGAGUUAGAAGACUGUCCCUCAGGAACGUGAACACUAUGGUGGUUCUGAUAAGCAGUGAUAUUGCAUUAGAGCCUUUUGGAACAAGAGGAUCUUUUCAGGUGGAAACUGUAAACUGCUUCAUGUUGGGCUGCAACCUUUUCUUCAAGCAAUACUUUCUUUCUGUAUCACGACUUAUGUUGCUUCCGGAGCCAUCCCGUGUGGACUGCCCUUCAGUGAAAGAAUAUGUGUGUUGACAUGUUGGAUUGUAAUCUUUGUUCCACUCUAAUGGCUUUUGGUCCUCCUCUUUCUCUUUAUGACAGAGAACCAUUUAGUGAUCCAUCUCUAUAUUGUAGCAUUGCUGGUGCUUUGCAAUACUACACUCUCACCAAGCAUAACAUCUAUUUUUCCGUGACCAAAGUAUGUCGGUUUAUGCAUGCGCAAACUCUUAUUCAUUGGCAAGUUGUCAAGCGUAUCUCAUGAUUUCCCAAAGCCACAAGUUCUUAUGGUCUUUCUGUUCAAGCUUACAAUGAUCUAUCUUUUCUUGGUUAUACUGAUGUCGAUUGGGCUAGUUGCCCUGAUAACAAGCACAAUACUAGUGGGUACAACACUUUUCCUGGUCCUAAUCUCAUUUCAUGGGCAUUUUCAAAGCAGAAGGUUGUGUCUCACUCCAAUAACGAAUCUGAAUAUAGGGGACUCACUAAUUAAUGUUGUUGCCAAGGUCACUUGGAUUGAAUCUGUCUUACGUGAGUUGCGUGUUUCUCUACCCCAACCACCAAUUUUGUUGUGUGACAACAUUAGUGCUACACACUUGGACAAACCAUGUUGAAAUACACUAUCAUUUUAUCCAUGAAAGGCUUAUGCAUCACACACUCAAAAUUCAAUACACCUCUUCUAUAGACCAACUAGUCAAUGCUAUGACCAAAGCUCUUCCUUCAUCUCACUUGUACAAUCUUCAGUGCAAGCUGAUUGUUCUUCCCAAACCACUCAACUUGAGGGGAGAUGUUAAGCCAAUUUAAUAAAUUGAUUUCUUUUGGUUAAUUUGUUAGAAUCAUUUUUAUUAGAGGUUUGUUUGUACAAUUACAUCCAUUUAUCAGGAGAGUACACGUGUACAACUCCUCUUUUAAUCUCACCAUUGUAUAUAUAUGAUACACGACCUUACUCAGAAUUGCAUAACAUUUCCUCUGCUCAUUCCUUUUCUUCUUUGAAUUUUCCCUUACCUCACUGAUUUUGAUUUAUACCUGGUGUUUUCACCUUUGGUCUCUACCUUUCUAGCCAGUUUUCUAAUUAAUCCGUAUAUGGUAUACCUGUCAACUAAUGAGGAGAAAGAGAAAAGGGGAUUGCUGUUCCACCAGCUACAUAUAAUAAUUAAUUACAAUCAUGGUAAUGGAUCCUGAAAUCCAUCCUUUGUGGAUUUUGUACGGAAUAUUGUUGUUAUGUAUGUGGGCUCACUUAGAUGUAUAUUGCUAGCCUGUCUGGGAAAUGUGAUUGCAGGUCCAGAUUAUGAUGUUGAUAUUAGUGGGAUAAGCAAGAGAUGCAGUUAACACGUAUGUGAUGGACUUGAGUAACUUUUCCAUUUCAGUCCAUUUUUUAAGAUUAUGCUUAGUCUUAUUACAAGGAAAGACCAUAAGAAUCAUGAGUCAUUGGCAAGGUAAUAUCAUUCCCUCUUUACAGGCUUCUUCACCUUUUGGUUUUUUUAAUAUCCAUCAAGAUCUUUUAAUUGGAGGACAAUUACAAGUAUAUAUAUAUGUAUUAAAAGGGGAAAAUAUUAAAACAGGAAAUUUUAGGGAAAAUAUAAUAAUUAUUUCUUCCUUCUUUCCCAUAUAGAACUACACAAAAUAAAACUUUAAUAAUUUUUUCUUAUCUUUUUUAUUAUUAUUUUUUCUUAGAAACAUCCGUGGUCUCACAAGCUUGUAAUCCUAGAUUGUUAGGCUCCUUUAACAGUGCCCCAACAUCGUGGUCCAAUGACAAGCUUCCACGCCUUAAAAUCAGAAAAUGCCAUUAAACUUUAUCAGACAUUACAGUUCAAGACAAAGCUUUCAUUUGCUUAAUGUGAUAAUGAAAUUGUUAAUUUCAUUUCGUGGGCAUCUAAAUUUGGACGAGCAAGACCUCUGAAUUCCCUGUUUUUAUCACCAGCAGAGGAGAUAAAAUCUUAAUGGUGAGAAUCUCCACGUGAAAUUUAUGUGUACUGUCAACAUAUUUUUGUUUAUAUAGUCCAGUAGCUGCAGGAAGUCUAGAUUAUAUAGGUAGCAGUAGCACUAUUUAUAGCACUCGAUAUUCGCUGUAUGAAUACAUUAAACCUUGUUUUCAAUACGCAUCACAAGCAAGUACUAGAUACUACAAGGAGUGACAGUCGCAUCAACAUUUCUUGAUAAUAGCAGUGACUGAUUUAUACACAGAACAGUACUGUACACGUACCAGUCACCAGAGAUAGGAUCUUAUUCCUACAUACGACUCUUAUUGAUCGAAGUCACUCAGUUGGGGUAGCCUGGAGUUGGAGGUUUGUGUGGUGGCUUCUUCUUUGGAGGAGGCUUUAUCUUUGGAGGCAUCAUCUUUGGAGGCAUCUUGUGUGAGUCUUCUUCAGCAUUCUCUACAGGAGGAUGGCCAGGCUUAUGACCCUUAGGUGGUUUGCCAACUGGGAUUGGUGGCUUGUGUCCUGAGAGUGGCUCCUCUUCUUCGGGAGGUUUGCCAACUGACGUUGGUGGCCCGUGUCCUGGGGGUGGCUUGUGUUUUGGGGGUGGUUUCACUCCACCGGGAGGUUUACCAAUUGGUGUUGGUGGUUUGUGCUCAAUCGGUGGCCUCUCAACUGGGGGGCGCUUGGGGUAAUCAGCGAGUGAAGAAGUGGUGAGAACCACCACUCCAAGCAACAACACUAGCAAGUAUGUGGAAGACAUCUUUGAGUUUGGCUCAGAUGGUGUAGAACUAGAAUCCUGGGUGGCCUUUUAUAUUAGUUGGGCCCUAUGCCCGAACGACAAGUGUCAUGGUGACACAUAAAGUGAUGGGGUCGAUUUGGGCCUACCGGAUUUGAAAACUUGGACAAUUCGAGAAGCGUCUCCUGACUCCGGGUUGUAAAGUGAAAGAUUAGGUAUCGACCAUUGAAGUAUGAUCACAACUUUUGGCCUUUGGCUCUCUCUACUGCCGUAUAGCUUUUUUCCUUUGGAUAUUUUUCUUAGCUAGACACAAUUAUUGAGCAGUCUAAUCUCGAAAUGGGAUUAGUAUAGCUUUAAGCAAAUUUAUUAUAGUUAGUGGAGGACUUUUAAGAGUGCAGACGACAUUUAACACAUGCAUGCAGUAGUAUAGGGGACAUAACACUAUUCUUUUUCCAAAGAUUCACAUGAUUUUUAUAUUAUAGUAUUGGCACAUUGUAUGUAGCUGGUUUUGUGGUUAAAAUUCCAUAUGUAGACACUGGCGUUUCUCCAUUUCUCACAAUUGAUGUUUACCUCCACGAUUACUAGAUUAGAUAUACCAAACAAUAACACAUUGUAUAAUCUAUCCGCCCUUCAAAAUCUACUGUAUGAUGAAAUGUUUCAUGUGUGUGUGAAGUGUUAGAAAUGCACUAUAGGCAACAUCAUCUUCUUUUGUCUAGGCUUGGGCCUCAAAUUAUACUCCCAUGCCAUGAUAAAUUUUCAUGUGCAUUCUCUAAAGAAGAGUGUCUUGAAUGUGCCAAAUCAUUUUGAUUGAUUUUAUGAUGUUAAUUGCUCCGCAUAUGGAUGGGUAUGUGCUUUAUUUGCUUAUUCAAUCCACAAUUACCUUGAACUGAAGUCCUAUUGGAGCUCUAUUAUUUUAGCAACGUCCUGUCAAAUAGGCUGCUAACUUGGGGUGGUAUGGACCCAAUGAUCCAUCUUAAUCUUGGGUUGAUUUUGUCUGACUCUAUCUAUCUCAGAGAGAACCAGGAUCACCAGUGCUGGUCUGCUUAAAGAAGACUCAGUACUGGAUUAAUAUUGGUUUGGGUCAAUAGCUUAUAAUGCAUUGAAUGCAGAAUAAACAAGAUCAAUGAAACCCAAAACACACUGCCCACACAACUUCACUCUGGUGUCUGUUAUUCAUCAAUUCUAUUCCCACAUGAACUGGUUCAAGUUUAAGAAAAUGACAACGGAUCCACUGUAUUAACUUGGUUUUGCUUGGUUUUGAGCUAGUUGCCAAACCAGCCAUGAGUUUUACCUCUAAUGUCAAUGAACAAACCCCAAAUGAACAACUGCAACAGCUUAAAGAGAAGGAAUGGAGAUGAAAAUCCCUGUUUCUUCUCAUUCUGGGGACAAAUUAGAACAUAACUACAAAGGUUCUAUUAAUUGACUUACUCUACCAUGAAUUAUGGUUCUUUGGUUUUCCAAAUUUAAAUUGUACAUGAGAUUAUUUUUUUCCUUUAUAUAUAAACAUAUUAAGGUUUUCUUAUUUCGUGGGCAAAUGCGCUAAGGAUGAAAGUCAUUUCAUUUGGCUGCAACAGCAUCUUAUAAUCAACAUGCAUAAGCAGCAGUUUUAAUUGAUCGAUUGAACACCGACUCACAAGAAUAGAUAGAAUGGUACAAGACAGCUCUUAUUAAUUUAUACUCGUUACUCAUUUUAUGUAGCCCCAUUAAGAUGGCUGGCUGGACCACCGAGGUCUGGGGGUGGUGUUGCUUGUGUGAUGCAGCGGGCCGGGCAGACACUUCUCUAGUUGCUUCUAUUUGGAGUUAGAGGAUCAGUCUCUGCCAACCUUGAGGACUCUCUACCUCAGAGGGUCCAGGUGGUGGACUCUGGUGUCGGUAGCUUUGAACUCUCAGUAGACUAGUGUGUCUUAAUCAGUCACUGCCAGAGGCUGGCGUAGGCAGUGACGAUAAGGUGAGACAAAUUACCGAAUAGUCAAUAUCGACUGCACUUGACCAUUAUAGAUUUGUUCUGACAAAAGUGAGAAAAGGGAGAAAAUCGGAUGUUGACCUUUAUAGAAAAAGAUAAGAUUUACUGCAACACAGAGCACUGAUUUGUUACUUGGAAACCAAGUUAUGCUAUUAGCUAGCCUCCAUUAGCAGCAGGGUACCUUGCUGCCUGAUCCUAAUCUGAGUUCCCAAGGUUUCAAUCUUCGUUUGUUAACGCUUCAGGAUUUGGAUAUUUCAGCUUCGUUUCUCCAUUUAGCCAACGCUGCCUGGUUUGGAUUUCAAUCCUCAUCUGGAACAUUCUUUUUUCGGUCUGAUUCAGGAAGUGUUUGGUGAUAGUUGAUUAAAAUUAAACAGUACUAUCAUACAAAUAAAGCUGAUCUAAUUUUGGUGGGCAAUAUACCAACUCAUUUAUUCUUGAAAACACCAUGGGGAAUUGGAGGUCCAUCCGAAGUACUAUUUGAUGGGACUCACAAAAAGAACAGGUGCACAUUUAUGAGAUCCGUGGAAGAGAUAACUAUGACAGCUAUGCAUGUACAACAGAUUUAUGUCGAGUUCACCUCGUAGAUAUUUUGUUUUCAGUGUCGGUGGACCCCAAAAUGGAAAUCGGAAAUUAAGGUUAUAUUUAUUUUUUUAUUUAAUUUUAAAUAGAAUUUUAAUUUUUAAUAAUAUUAAGUAUUAAAUUAUUUUUUUAAGGGUAUUUUAUUUUUAUUAAGUAUUAAAAAGUAAAAAAAAUUAAUAUGUUGCUUUUUUAUUUUAAAAAAAUUAUAUAUUUUAAUUUUUUCUAUUUACUAAAAAGUUUAUAAUAAAUUAUAAAAAAAUAAAAAAAUAAAAAACUUAAAUUCUGAAAAUAAAUUAUUUUUAAUAAAAAAAUCCAAAAAAGCAAACACCACCUAAAUUUGAGAUGACUCAAAAUUUUAUAUUUUUUUUCACCUAAAUUAUAUUCAUAAAUUUAAAAUUAAAAAAUUAGGAAGUUGAAUUUUAUUUUGGAUAAUUGGAAACUACAAGAAAUCAAUAAAAAUAUUUGGAAAAAAAAGAAAAAGAAAAACUAUCUAUAUAUUCACCCCCUUCUAAGAAACAUAACUUUAGUUUUUAACUAUUUUUUAAAAUAAUUUUUGAAAAAUGUUAUAUAAUAUUUUAUAAAACAAAAAAUCUGUUUGACAAUUUGAUAUGUCUUUAACUUAUUUUUAAUAUUUAUAUAUAUAUAUUUUAAAAAUAAUUUUAUAUUUAGAACUUUAUCUUUAAUUAUUAUAUAUAUUUAUAUAAUUAUUUUUUUUAAAACAACUCUUAAAAAAUAAGUGAAAGUAAUUGAAAACAACUCAAAGAUAUUUGAUGAAAACACUCUAAUUUGUAUUUUUGAGAAUAAAAAAAUAAAUAAAUAAAUUUCUAGUUAUCAAAUGUAUUUUUUAAUUCUUUUAUUCUAAAAAAUAGAAAAUCGUUUUUGAAAAUAAUUAUUAAACAACAUUCUUAAAAAUUCACUCGUUACAAUCUAGAUUUAAUGCAAGAAUGAUUGAAGGAGUCCUCCAAUAGAACCCAAAGUUAUAAACAUGAACAAGAAGCCCUAGAAACACCAAAGAUCUCAUAUGGUAUAUAUAUGAGCUUGAUUGAGAACUGUUUUAAAUUCAGUUUUUUUUUUUUUUUUUUUUUUUUGUUUUCAAAGUCAAAACAAGUUUACUUUUAAUUUUUACUUCUUUUUUUUAAUUUUAUAAAUAACAGUUUUUUAAUAAUUUAUUUUGAAAACAUGAUUAUUUUUAAAACUUAUAAUGAAAAUAGGAAUUUUUUUUUUAAUAUCAUGGUUAUUUUCCCUUCUUUUAAGGAGGGCUAUUUUAAAAAUAAAUUUACAAAUAUGAAAAAUGAUUCAAACUAAAGCAGUACAAAUAAAAAACAUUUUUAAGAAAUAUUUAAAAAUAGAGAAAAUUAUUUGAGAACAUUUGAAGUCCUUAAAUAGACUUUUGUUUUAGAAAAGGCAAGAUAAUUAUUUUUGAAAAUUGUUUUCAUAAUGAUAUGCAAAAACCUACGUAAAAACCAUAAUUAUAAUCGGCCACAUAUCAAAUCUACUAAAUAUGAAAAGUAAGUACAUAAUUAUAUUUGACUUAGAUGCAAGGAGGAAAAUGUCGCGAUAUUAUCGCCGAAAUAUCGUGUGUCGAAGGGUAUCGACACGAUUUUUCUUGCAGAAAUAUCGGCCAGUCGAUUUUUCGGGAUAAAUCUCGAGAAAUCGGCAAUUUAUCGCGAUAUAUCGGCGAUUUUUCCUCGAUAUAUCUUCUGGUCAACGCGGGUCAACGGAGUCAACACGCUACAGUGAAAGUCAAAUGUGCUACAAUGUCCCCGCUACAAUCACCUCCCCAAACAAAUUGCCAAAUUGCUUCCGAGGGGAUUUGAACCAGCCUUCUUGCCAUUUGGGCUAACUCGCCCUUAUGAUAUAUAUUGCAUUAAACAUAUAUAUACUUAAAGUCCUUAUAUAAAGAAAAUGUUAAAAAAAUAUUUUAAAGAGCAAAUUAAUUAUAAUUAUUUUAUAAUUAAAAGCAAAAUUUUCUUUUAAUUAAUUACCAAAAAUAUAAAAAUUAUAUAAUUUUCUUCAUAAUGUUUUUAAUAUCAUUAAUAAUUAAUUAAAUAUUAAAAAAUUAUAUAUAUAUAUAUAUAUAUAUAUAUAUAUAUUAUAAUUUAUUUUAUAUUGUUUAAUACAAUUGAAUUAAAUGGAUCAUAUUUUAAUAUUAAUAUAUAUUUUAAAAUUAGACAUAUUGUAAUCAAAUAUCAUAAUAUUAUAUGUAAUUUAAUAAUAAAUGUACACUUAUAAAAUUCAUAUUUUUAUCGAUGCAUACAAUAUUAUUAUCAAAUAUGAUAAAUCAUGUUAUACAUAUAUCAAAAUUUUCAAUAAAAUAACUUUAAAAUGUCUAUUAUACUUCUAAUUAUAUUAUUAUGAGGUUUUCUUUACAUUUUCAUGAGUUUUAAACAAUUUUAAGCACCAAUAUUUUUUUCCAAAAUAUCCACCGAUAUAUCUCCGAUAUAUCCAAUAUAUCUCCGAUAUCUCCGAUAUAUCCGUAAAAUCGAAGUACCGAUAUAUCCGUGAUUACCGAUAUUUUCAUCAUUGCUUAGAUGCAACCUUCUUCCAAAUGACAUACUUUAGUCAAUACUUAUAUUUUUUCGUUUCACUUCUUUGAUACAACACCUCAUGGAUUUAUUGUUUAAUUUAUUUGUAAUUAUAAAACUAUUUUUCAUUUUUAAUAAGACUUGAAUUAAUUUAAUAAAUAUUAUAUAAUUUGAAUUUAUAAUUCUUUUUAUAAAAUCAAAGUAUAUUAAAAAAAAAACAAUUUAUCCGAAGAAAGUUUUUUAUUUUUUAUUUUUUAAAACCGAUUUUAAAAAUAACUAGCUAGACACCCUUAUUUUGAUAAAAUACGAAAUAAAAGUGUAAAAACAACAUGGCCAAAUAGGGGCUUAAAUUUUAUUUUUAAAACAUUUUUUUACACUAAAGUGCAUUUUAAAAACACCAUCAAAACCAACUACAAGUUAUGCUUCUUCCCGUAAUAGAAAUAUUUUAGGCCAAAAUAGAACCUCCCCAAAUAAAGACCCUAUACUAAACUCCUUUUCAUUUUAUUAAUACAAAAGUGGGGAAAAAAGGUCUAUGCUCACCUAAAAAACAUGAAUAUUGUGAAUUCACCAUUUCUAUAAGGAAGUUGAAAACUUCAAAAUUUUAUCAACAAAUUCUCUAAAAUCCUCAAAAUAUAUAGGGCCUGUUUCACAAAGUUUUUUAAAAUUUGUUUUUAUAAAUUGCUUUUAAAAUAUAGAAUAAAUAACAGUUUUUUAGAUUUUUUGAAAAAUAAGAGUGUUUGGUAAGAUGUUUUUUUUUUUUUUUUUUUUUUUAAGAAUUAAAUAAAAAAUAAAAAAAUUGUUUAGAUAAAAGAAUUUGUAUUGUUUUUAAAAACAAUGUCUUACUUUUAUGUUAUAAAAAUUUUAUUAAUUUAAUUUAUAAUAAUAUGAAAUGAAAUUCAAGUUAAGUCUUAUUAAAAAAUACAAAUUAAAUCUAUAAUUAUGCAUGAGUUAAAGAUAAAUAUAUAUUUUUUAAAACUAUAAAAUAAAUUUUCUAUUAUAGUGAAACAAAAAUUACUAUAAAAUAAAAAUAAUUUUAAUAUUCAUUUUUAAUACAAGUCAAAUAAGUACUUUAAUUAAUUUUUUUUAUCAUGAUUUCUUAUGUUUUUUUUUUUUUCUAGAAAUUAUUUUAAGUAAUAUAACUAAUUUUUUUUUUAAUGUUUUAUAAAAAUAAGGAUAUUUGGCAAGUUGUUUUUAUAAAAGGAUUUUAAAAAUAAAUGGAUUUUUUUUUUUUUUAAAAAAAGAACAAAAUGAUUUGUUUGAAUAAAUUGUUUUGAUUUUGUAAAAACAUUUUAAAUUCAAUUUAUAUAAUAUUAAUUAAUUAAAUUAAAUUGAAGUUUUAUUGAAAAUAAAAAUAAUUUUGUAAUUAAAAUUAGAUUAAAAAAUAUAUAGGUUUUAAUAAAUCGUAAAUAGUAAUAUUAUAAUAAAAUUAUAAAUUAUAUUUUUAACAUAAAAUAUACUAUUUAUUACAUAUUAAAAAAAAUAUUUUAUUAUAUUAAUAAUUUUAUGGUAUUAAUGAGUUUAUUAUUUAAGUUUUAAAUUAUUUUUAAAAAUUAAUAAAUUUGUUAACAAAUGCAAUGUACUAAAUGUGGUUUAAUUUGGAGUUAAUUUGUUUAGGGAAAAAAAUAAAAAAUAAAAAUCUUAUGUAAAAGAGAAAUAAUAGAGUGUGUGUGUUUUUUUUUAUUAUUUUUAAAAAUCAGUAAAAAGAACUUUUACUUAUUGCCUAAAAAUUAUUCUCUAUUUUAUUUUAUUUUUUAAAUCUAGAAAUAGAUAACAAUAAUAAAAAAAAUUAAAAAAGAAAAAUGUUUUUUAAAACUCAGACUUAUAAUUGCUUUUGUUUCUCAUUCGCACCCCUGGAUUCCUGGAUUCUAAACACAAAAUUAAGUUGAAUCGUCCAUCUAUCUUGUAAGCCAAGAAUUCACAUAGAAGAAAUAAUCGGAAUUUGAUUUGAUAUCAGAUUUAGAGUGGCUCACUACUCAUGCAUUGUCCCACAAUAGUAAUGCUUUGGGCCGAGAUAAACCCAUUUGUGGGCCCAAAUAAAACCCCUGGUUUGAAAACAUCGAUUUUACAGUGGCCCAAAAGAUUAUCUAUGAGGGGAAGAUAACUUGGAAGUCAAGCAAACACAUUUAUCGCUAACUUUUCUCUAAUUAUAAAAUUAUAACUUGGUCUUCUACACGUCUCACUUAAGAGGCGGAGCCACUUGGCACUACCUUUCCAUAUUGUAAAAGGAGAAGAAGCAGAAGGAGAAGAUUCUUAUGCCAUUCCACACACCAUGGCUAGUACUGCUAUGCUGCUUGGCCCGCCGGCUCUCCGCCAUCCUAAUUCUCCCGCCGGCACUGUCUUUGAAGAUGGGGUCAUUCUAACGGAUUCCCUGAUCGUCCGCACCAGUAAUCUGGAGCUUUCUGAAAAACCGCCACUGGAAUCCCUGGCGUAGUGCUCUGUCAGUGGGGAUAUUGCUAUGGAUUGUUUGGAUUCCCAAGCCCACAAUCUUCAUCUUCCCGGGAAACCGCCGAUGGGCUUAACGGAAAACAAGUCUCCGACCUUUUUGUCUUCCGGGAACCCGUGCUUGGACUUCUUCUUCCAUGUGGUUCCCGAUACGUCGUCUGAUGAUCUGAUCCGACGGUUUGAGUUGGCUUGGGAAUUCAAUCCGCUGACGACGUUAAAACUGAUAUGCAACUUGAGAGAGGUGAGAGGCACCGGAAAAUCUGACAAAGAGGGUUUCUACACGGCGGUUCUCUGGCUCCACGACCACCAUCCCAAAACCCUAGCCUGCAAUGCUAGGGUGUUGGCCAGCUUCGGUUAUUUCAAGGAUUUUCUCGAGAUUCUCUACCGGCUUCUGGAGGGCCCUAAAAUUCGAAGAAUCGAAAAGAAAGACUGGCUGGAUCGAAAAGGAAGGAAGAAAAAUUCCCGGAAAAGGAACUCAAUAUUCAAGCGAGAAAAUAGGCCUGGAGUUGAAUUUCCUGUAGAAGAGAAGGAUGUGGAGUAUAUGGUGGAAGAAUUUGUGGAUAAAGAAAAGGCUAGGGUACUGAGAAAGGAGAGAGAACUUGCUCUUGCCAAAAGAGCCCUGCACAAGUAUUCUACUGAUUCUAAUUAUCAGUUCUUACAUGAUCAGAUUUCAGAUUUAUUUGCUGAACUUCUGAAAUCUGAUAUUCAGUAUUUAAACUCCGGUGAGCUUUACAAGAUUAGUCUCGCAUCCAAAUGGUGUCCCACAAUUGAUUCUUCUUAUGAUAAAUCCACCUUGAUAUGUGAAAAUAUUGCUCGAAAGGUUUAUUCUCGCGAGGAAUAUAUAUCCAGAAUACCAAGGAAUUGAGGAGGCUCACUAUGUUAAUAGAGUCAGGGAUAGGUUGAGAAAACAAGUACUUGUUCCAUUACGUAAGGCCCUGGAGUUGCCAGAGGUUUUCAUGUGUUCGAACCAGUGGGGAUCACUUCCCUACAACCGUGUGGCUUCAGUGGCCAUGAAAUCAUACAAGAGCCUCUUCUCAAAACAUGAUACAGAGCGGUUUGGUGUGUAUCUUGAGAAAGUGCAAACUGGGAAGGCUAAGAUUGCAGCUGGUGCAUUACUUCCCCAUGAGAUUAUAGCUUCAUUGAAUGAGGAGGAUGGCGAGAAAGUUGCAGAGCUUCAGUGGGCGAGAAUGGUGGAAGAUUUAUCAAAGAAUGGGAGGCUCACAAAUUGCAGUGCGGUAUGUGACGUAUCAGGAAGUAUGAGUGGAACUCCAAUGAAGGUGUGUGUGGCUCUGGGGCUGUUAGUUUCAGAGCUCAGUGAAGAUCCAUGGAAAGGUAAUGUAAUUACUUUCAGUGCAAGUCCUGAGCUUCACAAGAUCCAAGGAGACAGCCUUGUAUCCAAGACUGAAUUUGUGAGGAUGAUGGAAUGGGGUGCGAACACUGAUUUUCAGAAAGUUUUUGACAGAAUCUUACAAGUAGCAGUGGAGGGAAAUCUGAGUGAAGAUCAAAUGAUAAAGAGGGUUUUCGUUUUCACUGAUAUGGAGUUUGAUGAAGCUUGUGGGAGGUAUAACUAUUGUGAAUAUGACUAUGAUAUGGAGGAAAUUGAUGAGAGUCAGAAGGCAUCUCAGAAGUGGGAGACAGAUUAUGAAGUGAUACAGCGGAAAUUCCAGGACAAAGGAUAUGGAAAAGUUCCGGAGAUAGUGUUUUGGAACCUUAGAAACUCAUCAGAGACUCCAGUGAUGGCCACAGAGAACGGGGUGGCCUUAGUAAGCGGGUUUUCGAAGAAUCUGUUAGACCUUGUUUUUGGAAGGAGGUGGAAUUCUGACCCCUCAGGAUGUGAUGGAAUUAGCCAUCUCUGGUGAAGAUUACAAGAAACUUGUUCUAUUUGAUUAAGAUAUCAAGAGAUUUAUCAAUAAUAAUAUGUUUUUUUUUUUCUAUGUGAAAUACAUGUAAUAUUAACUAUGGAGUUAUCAAAGUUCUGGAAAUUUAAUUAUUUCUUCUUUUCAAGUUUUGUUUGUCUUUGUUAGGAAUUCCCCUUGGGCGGACCCAGCUGGGGACUUGGAUUGAGGAAGUAAGGAGGCGAAAUUGUGUUCUUCUAUGGACAGAGAAAAAAGAUAAAAAUAAAAAAUAAAAAAGGAGGUUAUUUGCAUUUGGAUGUCAUGUGGUUUCAGGGUACAACUACAAGUUCGAAAUUGUACAUAAUGUGAAAAUUCCUGUGUGGAGAACAGCAUAAAUAUGUAUCUCAGUGUGUUUUGUUUGAGCUAAUUGGCAAAUUCGCUUUAAACAUGGUCACAUGGAUGCAUAUUUAUUUGUGAAAUGAUAGUAGUCGAUUACUUGGUCAGUAAGGUUUGUAUCUCUAACUCCAACAUCUUAUUGUAGUCUUUUAAAAUGUCAAAAGUUUAAUGCUAGCUUGAGAAAUUUUGGAAUGGAGACAUUCUAAACAAAGUUAAUAAUCCAUGAGACUUGGUAAAACCGAUCAGAUGAUGCUUACGUACAUGAAUGCCUUCUUUAAGCCGUAUCCUAUUUUCAUUGAAUGAGACGUGCCAUCUAGUUUUGUUCUUGUCUUGAUUGGAUCAUGAUCCCGGGAAUUGAUUACUGUUCUGAAUUUGCGAAUGUUCAAGGUAUUAGAGAAAGUUAAUAUUAUCGUUAAUUUACAUAUUAGUAUUUAUCUAGUUAUUAUAUAUUAGUUUGAAUUAUAAUAUAAUAUAGAAUUUGAAUCAAGUUUACUAUUAGUUUGAAUUACAAUAGGAAAUAAAGUUUGAAUUAUAGUAUAACUCAAAUAUAUUUGUAUAUAAAUAUCCAUCUUUAUCAAUGAGAAUAGUAAACCAUAUUUUUCUCUAUCUUCUUCUUUCUCUAUAUAUAUGGUAUCAAAGCCUCCAAAUCCUAAACCUAGUCUCAACUUAGAGCAAAUUUAGGGUGCAGGGUUUAGGCCCCGCCUCCCCCAACCCUUACCACAAAUGGUAGUGACCUUGUUAUGCCUAUGUAUUGUCAAUGCCUCAUUUUCUAUGGUCUUCAAUACAAUAUCUAGUUUCAAUGUCUCUUUCCUUACUAUCUCCAAUGCAAUAUAUUGAUUUCAAUAUCUCUUUACAACCAAGAGCUCCAAAUUUUCCUGGUUCAAAUCUACCAUAAUUUUUAUUCUCCUUUGCUUUUUACCAAUAUUAGUUCCCCUAAUUUAAUAUAUAUCUCUUUAUUACCUUCAACUCUACCUCUCUCUUUCUUUAAAAGCUUCCUCAAAGAUUUGAUUGCUUUCUUGCAUGUUUUGGGAAAACAAACAUGCUCAUAUUCUAUUACCUCUACUUGAGAUCUGCCUUAUACUCUACCUUCUUCUUUACCUCCUAUAUCAUCUACUACAUUAGCUUCAAAAACAUUAUUUAGUUUGAUGCUAAAUAAGGCUCCUAAUCCUACCCUUCCUUCAACUAACUUUCUUUUACAAGUCCCUCAAAGUUUUUUUUUUUUUUUUUUUGGAAAUUUGGCUUAGAAAGAUUUCAUUACUCUUACCUAAUCUUUCAACCAUCAAGUCGAAUCCACUUAUCUCUUGAAUCCAAGGAGACUACCCUCCACAAAAACAAGGAGAUUGACCCCCACAAUAACAAAGAGAUUGUCCUCCAUAGAAACAAAGAGAGCUUCCUUCAUGGAAGCCGAAUACAUCGCAAUCUAUUUUCUUUCUCUCAAGAUCAAAUCUCCAAUCGGAGCUCCAUCUUGUGGGGAUAUAUUAGAAAAAGUUAAUAUUAUCCUUAAUUUACAUAUUAGUAUUUAUCUAUAUUAUAUAUUGAAUUAGAAUAGAAUAUAGAAUUUGAAUUAAGUUUACUAUUAGUUUAAAUUACAAUAGGAAAUAGAGUUUGAAUUAUAGUAGAACUCAAAUAUAUUUAUAUAUAAAUAUCCAUCAUUAUCAAUGAGAAUAGUAUUCCAUAUUUUUCUCUUUCCCUGAGGCUUCAGAAUGUGAUCUUGAACAUUUGAUCUUUUGGAUUCUUCUUGUUUCGGUGGUUUAAUAUAAUGGAAUGUUUAAUUAUAGCCUACUUUAUCACCAUGGAUGUGCUCCUGCAGAUUUCUUGAGGGUGAUGGUUAUUUUGUCAUGUUUCUUGAAUGGUUUGCAUCAGCUGCCUGAGCUGUUGUUGCUGGUCACUUUUGCAACCAGGGAAAGAAUCAUGGCUUUGGAGAAGCCAGCUUCUGUUUUUGUUGCCCAGCUGUUAGUUCACUAAGAUUGGGGGUCCUAACAUGUAUGUAUAAUCAUAAGCAAGGAAAUUUUAUGUCUUACGCUAGAUAGGUACCAUGAUAUGAUGUUUGAUUGAUUUAUUAACUCUACCUGUUUCAAAAGGCAUCAACAUUAAUUUUACCCUUUUAACACAUUGGAUUGUUUGACCUUACGAGAUUUUCUAUUUCUGUACUAUUUGAACUGCAAUCGUUAUGGUCCUUAGGUCUCUAAACCUUCGUUUAAAAUAAAAGUAAGGAGCACACAUAGUAAAAGUUAAUUUUGGGUAACUUUUAAAACAAAGAGAAAAGUAAAAGUUGUUUUUGAGAAAAACAUAUAGAAAUUGAAAGAUUUUUUAUUUUGAGAAAAAAAAGUCAUAGAAAAGAAAUAAUAUCCCCAUAUAAGUAGAUAUGAUCUAUCCGAAGUGUAGCUACUCUCCUGGAUUUAUUCUAACAUUUUAAAAUUUUUCUCAAUGGGCAAAGGAAUAUCAAAUCAAGCUUGAGUAGGAUUAAUUUCUUAAUUUUUAAAAUAACUUAUAAUUAAAAUUUUUUGGUGUUUUCUUUUUUGGACAAUUUUUUAUGAAGACUCUGAAUCAUGCAAGAGAUAUGGUUAUUUUAAAAAAAAAAAUAAUUUAAAACUCAAAUACAUAAUCAAUGUCACAAAUUUAUAAACAAAAGGUUUUUAAAAAAUACUAUUAUUUCCCCUCUACACAUAAUUUUACUUUUCCGAUUUAUUUAUUUUUGUUGGAAAACAGUCUUCAAAUCAAGUAAAAUUAAUAUGUUAAAUUUGUUAAACAAAUAAAUUUUAAAAUACAAUUUGGAACUCAAAAAUCAAUUCAAGUAAUGCUAAAAUUCAAAAAAUCAAAUUUGGAAUAAAAUGACUUUGUAAAUUUUUUUACUAAACAAAUGAAUUUUAAAUCAAGUGAGAUUUAAUACAUUGGAUUUUUAUGAGAAUAGUAAUUUUAAAAAUUAAUUUGGAACUCAAAAAUAGACACAAUAAAUACCAAAAAUCAAUGAACCAAAAUUGGUUUGGAAUAACUCCAUAAUUUUUUAUUUAUUUAUAUAUUUAUUUUUUUGUGCACACGAAUUUCUUACUAAGCAUAUUGCUUCCAAAUUGAGAAAAAUUUACUAUUUAGAUUUUUUUAAUGAGUUUAAUGGUAUUUAAAAAUAAUUCAAAAAUUCGAAAAUUGACUAAUUUAAUAUUAUAAAUUCAUAAACCAAGACUAAUUCAAAAUGCAUUGGGGGCUAAGGGGGUUGAAAUUAAUGCUCCAUUUGGUUGUGGCCACCAAUUGGCAAUGGCCACCAAUCAACCAAUCAAGGUGGCUAAGGGGGUUGAAAAUAGGGACAAUGGGGUGGGUUUGGGACAGGACACUCAUAUCCCAUUCCCAUCCCAAUUACACAGUUAUUUCCCAUCCUUAUUCCAAACUUGUGUUGGGGCAAGUUGAUUUGUUCCCAUCUUUGUUAACGAAAUGACUAAUAACCUCAUCCUCUCCUUGUCUUAGAUGUACAUUUUCUCAAAUUUGGUCAGGUAUGAUUGAUUCAAGCCCUAACCUUAAUUGGUAAUGAGUGGAUACCACACCUAAUUGCAUUCUUCUUUCGUUGCAAAAUAAUGAGAUUAUAAUAAUCUAGCAAAUAAGAAAAAAUAGUAUGGAAGUUCAAAUUAACACCAUAACUAUCAAUAAUUUUAAGCUUAUAGAUGACUUAAAUGAUUGAAAACUAAUGCAAAAUACUAAAAAAAAAAAAAAUCAUCUAAAGAAUUCACAAGAGAAUAGAACGAACAAAACCAAAUAGGAACAUGGGUCAACAUUAGUUACAGAUUUUGAUCCCUUUCAAGGCCAAUCUUUGAACCAAGACUUCAUCAAAUCUACUACUUCAAAGGCUUUUGUGUUCUUCUUGAGUUGUACUCUGGAACAAAGACUUCGAGGUGAUGCUUUAGAUGAUUGCAUUACACAUAUUUAGGGUAGGGAGAUUGGAGAAGCUUGAAGAUGCCAACGAUGGGUACAAUUGAGUGGUCAAUAAGAACAAUGUGGCCUAUGACUAGUUUGAUGUCAUGGUAUAGGAGUUUUGGGCAUUGAGGUGAAAGCAAGAGCAACAUGGAAUUGAUUUCAAAGUCUUUCAAUUAGUGUAAAGGAGGAAGAAGAAGUGGUAUUGAUCCUAGAAAUAGUGUUUUAGGUGUUGCAUUAGAGGAAAAGAAAAAGAAAAAGAAGGAACCAUUGGAAUUAGUACGAGUGUGAAGAGAGAAGUGUAUACAUAAGGGGAAGUAAAAGCAAAGUUCUAAAAAUUUAUUUUUUUAUUGGUGGUGUAUGGUUGCAUGAUUAUCCCUAUAAAUAAUAGGAGUUUUUUGGUGUUCUACUAGUAGUUGAAGGAUAAUUUCAUAAGAUAAUAUUUAGAGCGGGGUGGGGUGAGUUGUGACAAAAUCCAUACCCGUCCCAAACAUUGGUUCAGGUUUUUAAAAUAUUUUCAAACUUAUCAUAUACCCAAUUUUAUAUUUCAUACUUGUCCUAAUAGAGACAGGUUAGUCAGGGUUACUUGAGUAGCCUACAAAACUAUCAUCCCUAGUUGAAAUGCUCUUUUUGGCAGUGGCAGCUAGAAGCUCGAUCGAUUGACCUACAAGACUAGUUGUCAUCAUUUUAAAAAGAGUUUUGGCUUUGGUUGUGAGUGCAAUUGAAUCUAAACUAACAUUUCCUUAAUGCAUCUACUUCAAUCCUAAACUUCUUACUUAAGCCUCAAUUGUUGUUAAGAUUUUGGAAAACCCAUUUCCUUAAAUUGUAAAUUUAAGAAAAAAAAAAUUAAAAGUGAGACAUUUCUUGAUUGAAUGUUGUUAAAGGUCCCUUGGAAUUAAGACUUGGUUGAAGCCUUGGAAGAUUAGCAGAACUCUCAACUUAUGUUUGAACCUUGAGGAGAGUGGACGUAGGCCAAAAUUUUGUCAAACCAUUAUACAAAUUGAGUUUGAAUUCUCAUUUCUUGAUUUCUUAUUUAUUUGCUUUUUCUUAUUAUUACUUGAAUUGUCAUUUGCAUUCAUUAAUGUUAAAAUUGGUUAUAAUUAGCCAACACUAAUUCUCUUUCCCCUUCCCUUAAUUUCUUGGGUGUAAACCUAGGUUGGAUUAACUAGAUUUUAUCAAAUCUAUUAAGAUGGUAAAAGAAUAAUUAUUCUUAACAUACAUAAGAUCAUCUUCAAUCAAAUGACUCAUUGGCUGAUAUGUUGAAUUUGCUUAUUACUUGCAACUCAAAAUUGUGUUCUAGUUGAUAUGUCAAGUCCUGAGUGUAUGGACAUUAAAUUUGUAGUACGUGAUGAGUAUUUAGAUGGUCCAAUUCCAAGAAAGUGAUUGAAAACUAGUUCAAGAAAGGUGCAAAAGGGAAUUGUUUUGGUAUUUUCGUUUUUAUUCUUGAAGGUGGCAGAGCUAAAAUUUGAGAAAUCAAGCAAAACAUACUGAAAUUACAUUGAAAGAAAGAAAAUGGGAGUUAAUGUCUUGCAGUACAUGAUAAGGACUUCAUGCAUGUAGUGUGACCCAUGUCUUGGACUGAUGCCACACUCACGGUUACACUUAUACCCUUAGUUCUCUCUUUACUACCUUAGCUAACCUAGAUCAGGUUAUGAGAUAGGCACCUCACCACACCAUUACUUGCCCAUUAAUUAGUGACAUUUUCAAGCAAUGAGGUAACAUGGUGACACCAAGAGGGUAUAUUCCUCACCCCCAACAAGCCUAGACCUGGUCUAAAAAAAAUGGAGAAAAAUGACGUGUUGUUAUGCAGAAAUAUAGCAACCAUGCCUUCCUCAUUACUUAGAUUCAGAAUGUGAAGGUGAAAUUGAGAAACAGAAACUCUUGAAACCAAAAUGAAAAUUGAUACUUUUACGAAGAAUUACAACAACAUUAGAGGAAGACUACAUUCUUCCUCUUUAUUCCUACAUUUCUACACUACUUCUACUCCACUCCAUAUUUCUACAUACAUCUUUAAUCAGUCUUCCCUCCUUUAUAUAGAGCCAUCUUCACACAAAUUCCGCAAGGUAGAAAAGAGGAAUGAAACUUGGAGCAAGGUUCGACUACUGGCUGUAGCUUGUCAAGGCUGAAAGUGAACUUUUUUUCUUGGCUUUUCUGGGCAUAGGUAGUAACUUGUAGGUUCCUUUUUGGAAUGAAAAUGGUACGGCUAGAACAUGUGGCACUCUCUUGUUGGAUGAUGUGUCAAGCAUGUGGCAGCCAUCUAGUGGAGAUUAUGUCAAUUUUGGGAUGGAGAGUUGGCAUCCAAUUGCAAAGAAAUAUGACAUCUACCAACAUGCAAUGUCAACCUAUGUAGAUCAUAUGAAGAUAGAGAGGAAAAAUAUAGAAAUGGAUAUAUAACUAGAACUAGCUUUUUAUUAAAUGAGACGGAGAGCCAACAAUGAAGGAAAAUCAAAAUUUUUGGCUCAUAUCAAAGAAUUCACAUUGUGUUACCCUAGGUUUUCUUAAAACUUACUUUUAUGAUAAUAAAAAAUCAUUAUUGUUUAAUCCUUUGUUUUAAACGCAUGUUUAGCAGGUUGUAAAAUGUAAAUAUCUUUCGAAAUUCAAAUAUGAAGAUAUGACAUCAUUUCAAGCAAUAUAGUCUCUAGGAAUUAAUGUAAAGCUAAAUUAAGGUGCAAUUAAGUUAGUUCAAUGCAUUAUUUUAAGAAACUUGACCUAUCAAAACCUUGUCUUACUUCAAAGCCUCUUUUUCUUUUCUUCCAACUAACAUUUUAAUAAGUGAUCGCAAAAGUACAAAAUUAGAUGAAAUCCAUUUCAAUGGUUAAAAUGAUCAAAUUCAAACUUUUUCUAAGUAUCUUUUAAAAGCAUCAAUAUUGAAAGACAAUUUUAUAUUUAGUCAAAGCUUGGACAGAGCCAAAAAGCACACAAAAAUUUAUAUUUUCUAGCUCUCUACCUUGGAUGGUCUCUUGAUCCUACUUGGAGAUGUGCAUAAAUAAAAGGAUUUGAAAAUGACAAUUGACUAAGUAUGUAGUCAAUCAAUUACUCAUUGAUUGACUAGUUGAUCAAUUAACUUUGCAACAUCAUAUGCAAUCCUAAUAGCUAGUCAUCUAAUCAACUAGGUAGUAAAUCAAUAGGCCAAAAAUAUGUUUAUAAUGACUAUUUUGUACAAAAACCACUUAUAUAGUUAAAUAUAAUGCAUUUCAUUUAUAAAUCUUCUAAUUCUUGAAUAACAAUCCUAUCAUCCUUUGAAAGUUUUUAUUACACCUUUUCUACAUUUGUUCUAAAACUUAUACAUCACCCUUAAUUGUACCAUGAGAACCUAGCAUUUUUUUUUUUUUUUUUGUAUUUCAUCAAAGUUAGCUCUUGUACUCAUUGUUGUAUUAUUUUUAUUGUAACUUAGAGAGCGAGUGUUUUCAAGUGAGUGAAAUUGACUUGUAAAUAUUGUAAAGAUUCAUUGAUAUGUAUCUCAAACUAGGUGUACAAGUUGAAACAUUUGCUAGUAGAUUUUCUCAAGAUUUAGAAUGAGCUUAAGGCUAUCGAAUUAGGUGGGGUUGCGCCAAACCAUAUCACAUCGUUGUUUGCACCUUUUUUUUCACUCUCUUUUACUUAGUUGCUCUAUAUAUAUUGUCUAGCAAUAUCCUAAAGGCUUGAUGGGCUAGGGAGCAUCCCUCUGAAUGAAAAAUUUUCAUUCAAUUCUUAGUUGUAUUACGCAUAUAUAAAAUGCCUCAUUGUUUUAAUGGUAUUCAGUCGUGGCACCACAGAUAUGGACAUCUAAAUUUUAAAAGUUUGAAACUUUUAGCUAAAGAAAAUAUGGUGCUUUGCCUUUUUGGAAAGCAUGUUGAUGAAAUCCAUGAGAAUUGUAUACUUGGAGAGCAACAUCGAGAUAACUUUUUUUUUUUCUUUUUUUAUAAUGCAUUGUUUGUCCAAAUUCCGUACAAAUUAGGCCACCACAUGUUCAUAAUUCUCCCUUCUUGAAUUUGAAAACUCGGACAAUUUGACAAUGCGACACCUAAGUCCGGUUUUUAAAUGCUAAAGUGAAAGGGCAGGUAUGGACCAUUGAAAUGUGAUAACAACUUUUGGCCUUUUCCUUUUCUCUGUAGCCAUGUUGUCUCUUUUUAAUUUCUUUUGCAUGAUUUUCUUACCUAAACAGAAUCAUAGACUUGUUUAAUCUCUAAGUGGGAUUUCAUCCACCUUAAGCUACUGUAUUAUAUCUCGGUGGAGGACAACCGACAUAGAGCACAUGCAAGUGGGUAUAUGGGACAUGAAAUAUCUUCUUAUAAAGCUUGUUUUGCAGUUAAAUUAAUUGGAUAAGUAGACACUGGCGUUUCUAAAUUUCCCACCUAAGAUAAUGACCUUAUCCUUGACUGCUAGAUACACAAACAAUUAUACCUUCAAAAUCUACUGUGAAGUGCUUCAUGUAUGUGUGAAGUAUUAGAAAUUUCUUUCUUGGCAACUUGUUUUUUUCUUUGCGGUCUACUGAUAGGUUUGACUAAAAUUAUAUUCCCUGUCCUGCUAAUUAAUUUUCACGUGCAUGCUCAAAAGAAGAGUAUGACCUUAGUGCACCAAAAUCACUUUCAAUAAUUUGUGAUAAGUUUUUUUGCAUGACAUUAACCUUAUUCAUUUAGAUAAUGUUUAGUUCUCAUAAAUAUUAAGAAAAUGAAAAUAAAUAUUAAGAAAAAUAUUCUUAUAUUUGAUUGUAUUAUGAAAAAUAUCAUAAAAAAUCAAAUAUAAUUAAAAUUAAUUAAUAAUUUAUAUAUUUUAAAAUUAUUUAAUUUUUAUAUUAAAGAUAUAAUAUAAAUGAAAUGAGUUUUAAGUAUUAUAUAAAAAUGAUUUAUUUAUUUAUUUAUAUAUAUAUAUAUAUAUAUAUUUAGUUUUUCUCUUUAUUUUAUUUUCCUUAUGUUUUCCUCACAUUUUCCGGAAUCAAAGAUAGGGAAAUCCACAAUUACCUUCAACUGAGUAGAUUCUAUUGUUUUAGCAAUGUUAGGCUGCUAACUUGUGGUGGUACGAACCAAAUGAUCCAUGUUAAUCUUGGCUUGAUUUAAUUUGGCUCUAUCUCAGAGAACUCAAGGAUCACGUCAACUCUGGUUUCUACUAUUCAGGUCCAUUCCCAGAUGAACUGGUUCAAAUUUGAGAAAAUGGUAACAGACCUUUAGUGAUAUUGGUUUGGAGCCAGUUGCCAAACCUGCCCUGAGCUUUACCACUAAUGUCAAGGGACAAAGCCAUUUGAACAAAAACAAUAGCUUCAAGAGACUGAAUCGUGGAUGAAAUCUGAUCCACAUUUCUUCUCAUUUUGGGAAAAAAUGAGGACUUAACCACAAAGAUUCUACUGCCUCAUAGUGCUUUUCCUGAUCUAAGGUUGGCUCGUUUCCCAAAUUGUGAGGUGCACGUGCCACUCUCACGCUCAGGAGUGUAUCCACGUGGUGGACAUAAGAUGGUGGCUUAAUAUCUGGUGUCGGUGGCUUUACUUUACUAGGAGAGUAGUGUGUCUUCAUCUCAUUCACUGCCAGAGGGUGGCGUAAGCAGUGACGCUAAGGUGGGGCACAGUCAAUAUCAUUUGCAUUUGACCAUUAUAAUUUUCUCCCGGCUUUAAAGUAACCUUAUCGUGAUAAUGGAUUACUAGCACUAGUUCAGAUGACAGUCAUGUUAAAUUCGGACCAUGUUUGUGUCACAUUAUCAGCAACCAUGUGCUUGUGGUUCAUGCUAUCUGCAACUAAACUUGAUAUAUAACCAGGUGAACUUCAAUCUAAAUUCUGGAAGUACUCAUGUGAUAGAUGGUGCCUGUCUGCAGUGAGUGUAUCUAUAAGAGGGAAGGCUUGGCAAAUGUUCAGUUUUCUGGGAAUUCAACAGGGAUCUAAAAUAGAUUGUUUUCUUUGCUGAUUUCAAUGGUUGAAAUUUGAGAAGAUUGUGUCCACAUAACACAACUAUUACUGGUCCUUCUGUUGCAAUUUAUCCUCUAAGGCUCUAACAUGUCUUCCAAUUCCCACUUCCCACUUCCCUGUUACUCCAGGAAAGCUGUUUCUGUCAUUGUGAAGAAGAAAAGAGACUGUACAUAUCGAUGCUUUUAAGUGGACUGGAGAAUUCAUAUCAGGUGGUCUGCAGCCAUACAUGCCACUUUGUGAAGGUUGGAACAGUCAAUCACUAGGCUAUAUUAGUGGGGCCCAGCCACUUCAAUCAAGGACAAGUCUUCAUACUUAAAGUCAAAUUCUGCCUUUAGUCUCAUUAUAAAUUGCUGUUUAAAUAUCAAGCAAACAUUUGUUUAAUGCGAUUAAGACAGCACUAACUCAAUACUUGUUCUAUUUUUGGAUGCAAAUGCUUGAUAGUUUCAUCAUUGGAGGGGAUAAAGGUGCAUUCAUGAUUAUGAAUACUUGUAGUUAUAUUUUCAUUCUCUUUUUUCUCAAUGGGACUUGUUGGCACAAUUUUGCUGUUCAGAAACCUACCUCUCCAUGGAAAAUCAGUUGUGAUUGAUAUUACUGGAUAUAUUCAAGAAAGCUAAAUGUAGAUAGCACAAAAUAUUAUCGACAUAAAUAGCAUUAACAGCGUACGUAUGUCUCAAUGCUCAUCAGCUAUAAGCAAGGGGCAAACACUUACUAUGAGCAACUUACGUCAAAAUUCCGGAAUAGGACAUAGAAGUGACAGGUCAGUAAAUAUAGAACACUGCAUAUGAGUCACAAGAAAGGAAAUUACGGGUACAUAGCAGCUCUUAUUUUACAUCCUACUCAUACUGAUCAAAGUCACUCAGUUGGGAUGGGUGGGAGUGGGAGGUUUGUGGGGUGGCUUGUGCGGAGGAGUUGGCAGCUUCUUUCCAGGACCUGGUUGCUUCUCUGCUGGAGUUGAAGGAGGCUUAAUCUUCCGAGGUGGCUUGUAUGAGUCUUCAGCAUUCUCAGCAGGAGGGUGACCAGGGUUGUGACCACAAUGUGGUGGCUUCUCUCCCUUAGGUGGUUUGCCAACUGGGGUUGGUGGCUUGUGUUCCGGAAGUGGCUUCUCUUUGUGUUCAGGAGGUGGCUUCUCCACUGGAGGCUUGUGUUCAGGAGGUGGCUUCUCCACCGGAGGCUUGUGUUCAGGAGGUGGCUUCUCCACCGGAGGCUUGUGUUCAGGAGGUGGCUUCUCCACCGGAGGCUUAUGCUCUGGUGGUGGCUUCUCCACCGGAGGCUUAUGCUCUGGUGGUGGCUUCUCCACCGGAGGCUUAUGCAAUGGUGGUGGCUUCUCCACCGGAGGCUUGUGUUCAGGAGGUGGCUUCUCUACCGGAGGCUUAUGCUCUGGUG